rnacentral:lncRNA from 1 species
AUAUGAGCAUGUAAUUUCUGACGAUGAAAUGGAUCUUGCAGGCUUGUCUUAGUGCUCCUGGAACCACCAUUUGAAUCUAAAUGUUCCUUCAAAUUUACAAUCUUGUGCUCUUUUAAGUGGACAAGUCUCUGAAUCAUCAUCCGGCAAAUUUUGUUUCCUUGUUAUCCUGGUUGCGAGAACUGUUCAUCUCUUUGCAAAGUAUUCUUCUUUGUGUCCACUUAUUUGGAACAAUUACAUCAUCUAUUUCAUAACUCCAGUUCUGUGACUCCACCAAGUCUUAUCUAUUAAGAAGUGACCUAAUACUUGUGCAAUUUAGAGGUGAUAGUUAUAUAUUAGGUCUAGAAUCGUGAUUUGGGGAAAUUAGGUGUGUUUUAGGUGUGGUGUGUAAAUGUUCCAGGUAGUCCAAUUUUUUUCAUACUUAUCCCAUGAAUGAGAGGAGCUUGAUGCUUUACCUGUCACGUGCUUUGACUUGAUACCGGGGCGUGGAAGGAAUGUGAGACACCCAAAUCUGAUAUGCAGUGUAUUUUAAAUUGAUGCUUUGGUGUUUCAGAGGAGUGUUUUCUGGCAACUGCCAUUCUUCUGGCAUAUUUGCCUACAUGUUGAUGGAAUGGGCCAACUAAUGUGGGUAGGUUUGAUUUGGUGGCUGACCGUUGACAAGCUGAUGACUUUAUUAUCCAGGCACCAAUUUGGAGCUGGAAAUCCAGUCUUUUUUUAUUUGCUUAUACAGAGUUGAACACAAUAUCUUUUCCUUGUAUAUUGUACACCUAAAAGUGACUGGUAUCCUUUGACAUCAUGACAUUUCUUCAUGUUGUCUGUAUUUGAAAUUCUGUUGAAAGAAUUAACCUCUCUGGAGAUGAAUUUUACAGGAUUUUGAACAAUCUGGUUUAUAGUGGCAACAUGUACUUUGGUUAUCUUCAGAUUUUCAGUCAUUUUGAUACAAGAUCAUUCUCCUUGAACCCCUUGGCUAUAAAUGGAAAGAGGGAUAAAAAGAAAAUCAUGUCUCAAUAUAAACUAGAGCAUUCAAUUCUCAACAGUAGUUUUUUCAUCUGCUUGGAUGUUCAAAAUUAGAGCACCGAUGAAAUAUCUCAUAAAGUUCAACCUUGAGCUCCAAUUAUUGAAAUCUGCAAUAGAAGAAUCUAUUCAUUUCUGUUUAGCUUAAUUUCAAAAAAAACAUUUCUAAUUGUGAUAAAGAAGUGCAAAUUUCAUGUUGAACGAGUUAAGAUGAACUUGGAGUUCUUGAAUGUUAGGUCAUUUUGGGUUUAUAAUACUUAAAAAUACACUAAUAUUACAUAUCACAGAAUUAACAUAAGCAAUGACACAGUAAAGUCUUAAAAUUUACAUAUCUGUGGACUUUUUGCUAUAAUACAAAUGUGAUGUGAAUAUGAUUUAUCUUUUCCCAAAAAUAUGUAUCAAUAUAAGUUUUACCUAAAGUAAUUAUAGCAACACCUGUUAAAUAAUGAAUACGUAAGCUAUCAAGUGUAUAAAUAUUGUGUAGAAUCUUUAAUAAAGUUGGUUAUCAUUUUAAACUUCAUGCUAAAUAUGGUACUCUAAAAACUACUGAAACCUGAACCUCGACUCAAUGUCAACCUUGAACCCGUAUUGUGAAUGCAACUGGCAAUGGACCCUUUCGUGAUGGCAAUCAAACAUGAAAAAUACUGUAUAAUUUUUCAAUGGCUUAUUGCUUAGCUGCAUCAGGCACACUGUUGAAUGGAGAAACACCUCUCCCUACCACAAGCGUGAAUAGCCACUUGUGAGAGUGACCCAUGUUCCCACGAUCGACAAAUUCCAACGUGCUGACAAAUUCCAUAAUUCUUGCACAGCGAUGAGGUGGUCACUGUCCCAGCUGCACAAUCGGGUGUGUUUUUGGCUGGCAUAACCACACAGAAGGUUUCCAUUUAGGUAUGUUCACACCGAGCCAGGUUAGGUUUGCUCAUGUUCCACUUAGUGUGUGGGAAGUGGUGGUCAUACGUGAGCUGUUGACAAGUCCCUCUAGCGUGACCAUUAAAGCCGCAUGAAAAUGCAGAAGCUGAAGUAAAGCUGAAGCUGUAGAAAUAGAAGAUGCACCCCAUUUUGUUUUUUCACAGUAGUUGUACGAGGUACAACGUGGUCGGCACGCUAAGAAACCAUCAGUGCCGAUGAAUCGAGCUUGAGGAAUGGUUAGGUUCAAAAGCAUUGUUUGAACUUCUCGCGCUCACAUUGUUUUAAUAACGUGCAAGGGAGCCAGAAGCGGGAGGGUAUAGAGAUCUGACGAGAAUACUGAGAUGCAUAAUAAAACAGUGUUACUCUUGGAUUAAACUUGGUGAGAAAUGCGAAGAGGACUUAUCUCAAUGGGGCUGAACUUGUUGGAGGAUGAAGACCUGUAUGGAGAUUGACACUCAUUGGCAGCUGCCCACAGUACAUUAUGAAGCUGAGUUGCUGAACCCCCGCCGUUCCAACUCCUAGCGCACCAGUCUUUUUGAUAUUAAUUGAAGGGCUUAGAACUCACCAUCUCCAUUCAAUGCGCUUGUGGCUGUCUGCAUAUAGAAGCAGCUUGGAUAUAAGUAGUCGAGCAUUCAAGACUAGCUAUAUCUGAAUACUCUUCACAAGUACGUUUAGUCUUCGUCUUGUUUAUUCUCCUUUGCUCUCAUUCAUCAGCUUUUUCACUCAUCACCUUGCCCUAGUUUCUGUGUUUGCAGUUCGUAUCCCCGUGUCUCCAUCUUACUUUGCCAUCUAGGAUUAAUCAAUCGUGCUUGAUUGUACUGGACUUCAGGUGCUUCUCCAAUUACUAAAUCUCGCCGAGCUCUUCCAGGCUUUCUCAGCCACGUGCCUGCGUCUGUAUCUGCGAUUCAAUGGUAUAGCUCCUUUGAGUUUUAGCUCCGCAUUCAAUUGAACAUAAAAUCCCCUCGCAUCAUUGAUCAAGCACAAACCAUGCCCGGUUAGUACACACAAAUUCUAUUGCGAACGUUUGAGCAGCUUACGUUUCGUGUACAUCAACUGGAAUAGCAUUGAAAUUGAUUGCAGAGUUACGGAAAAAUCAUAAGAGGACUGGACGAGCAUGGCAAUUAGCUGCAGAGUAUGGCGACUCCUGCUGGCAUUAUGCACCCUAGGAUCAGUUGGCAUGGAGUCAGUAAAUGCGCAGUUCUUCAACAAUUUCUACACGACCAAGGGGUGCGACUCAGCAGAGGCCAUCGUCACUCAAGCUGUCACGGAAGCGUUCAAUCAAGACCCCAGCGUCGCUCCCGCCCUCAUCAGAAUGCUGUUCCAUGACUGCUUUGUGGAGGGUUGUGAUGGUUCCCUUCUCCUGGACCCCACCCCCCAGAAUCCAAAUGUGGAGAAACUGGCGUUACCGAAUCUCUCCGUAAGAGGAUAUGAAGUGAUUGAUGCCGCCAAGAUGCAGCUCGAGAAGACGUGUCCCAGAACCGUAUCCUGUGCCGACAUUGUGGCGCUUGCGGCACGCGACGCAGUGCUGUUGGUAAGAGCUGACGCGACUCAUUCCUGCUAAUGACGAUGCACAAAACCCCUUUAAUUAAUCAUGUGAAUUUCAAACUAACUGGUGAGCAAAUGCAGACUGGUGGACAGCACUUCGAUAUGCCCACGGGCCGUCUGGAUGGAAUGGUUUCAACUGCCGACAACGCCAACAACAAUUUAGUGUCAACCCGAUCCUCUGCAACGGAGCUCACCCGAAAAUUCUUGGAACAGGGUCUCGGCCAGGAUGAUAUGAUAACGCUAUCUGGUAAACAGCCGUGACUGUGACUUGGAAACUGCUCCAGAUUCCACUCAUUUCACUACAGUGUAGGAUUUUCAUUGUUAUUCGUGAUUAUGAUUACCAUUGUUGUUAUUGUUCACCAGGUAAACGUAUUGUGAGAAGCUGAGAGAAAGGGAAAUCAGUAAACUUUGCACAUUUUUGCAGGAGCCCACACUGUUGGAAAAACGACAUGCGGCCAAAUCACGUCUCGUCUGUACAACUUCCCUGGCACUACCAACGGCGUGGACCCCACUCUGGACUUCGACUAUGCCCUGCAUUUGCAACAACUGUGUCCUCAGAAUGGUAAUCCGAACGACCCAGUCCCACUAGACCCAGUCUCUCCCAACACCUUCGAUAACAUGUACUACACCAAUGGCGUCACGGGACGCGUUCUUUUUCCAUCCGACAACGUUCUGUUCGCCGACCACCAAACGCAAUUCGCAUCCAACUUGAAUUCACAGAACGGGCAAUUCUGGCAGGUAAGUGAGAAUCACAACCUCCACCUAGUCUAAGCUGUGCCAGUCUCUACCUAUGCUUUCCCUUCGUGUGCAAAUUUGUUGAUAGGAAAGACCCUGAACAGCAUCGAGGUGUGCUUCCACAGAUGAAAUUCGCGAAUGCACUGGUGCGCAUGGCUUCGAACAAGGUAAAGCUGGGCGUUCCCAACCGAAAUGGUGAAAUACGAAAGAAUUGCCGAUUCACGAAUGCUGCUACUGGGUCUAGUACAAACAAUUGAGUGACUACCUCAACCGCAGCUGAACCUGUGUGCAUCGCCACAAACAUUUAAGUUGAUGUUUCCAUUUUGACUCGCAACGACUAGAAUUGAGUUUUUCAGAUUUAGGACUAAUUCAAAAUAAGUCACUGUCAAGGAUGACAGUAGCUAAUUGUCUAGAAUGUAAUGAAUCCGUUACCCUUUCGAGAUCGAGACCAAGUCUGCUGAGAAGAUGUAUGCACCCUGGAAUACAUCAUUGAUUGAUGAGAUUGAUGCUUUUCAUGCUUUUCUGCUGCAUCUAAAUCCACAGUGACACGAUUGUAUCACCUUUUGUACAUUAUUCAGUGCAACCACUUCAAGAAGGUUCUGUAAAUUCAGUAGAGUAAUCAAAAUGCAAGUUGCUUGUGUUAUUCCCACAAGCUUUUUUUCAGAGGCUUCGGCAAUAAAUCGCCUUUGGCAGUUAUGCUAAUCAACUUGUCAGUUUGUGAGUAGAGAUGUGGUGAAGGAAAACAUUAAUUGAUUUUUUUACGUGUCAAAAUUUCAUUAUUAAUUUAAUUUAAUUCAUUUUUUUUUUCAUUGCUUAGAUGGUUUUGCAUAUUUAUUUCAAAAUUUUUAAUGUCAAAUUAUUAUUAUUAUUAUUAUUUCCAAGAGUAAAUAUUAUUAUUAUUAUUAUUAUUAUUAUAUUGUUUUAUUAUACAUCAGUUGAUAAAAAAAUUCUGAUUGUUGAAAUAAAACUCAUAGGAUUAAGAAAAUAAUACCUUUAAUUAUAAAUAUAAAACCUAAUUUAUAUAUUUUCUUUUUUAAUAUUAAUAUUAUAAAUUUUGAUGAUAAAAUUAUCAAAUAUUAAGAAUAUUUAUAAGUUAAUAAUUUUACACAUGAUAUAUAUAUAUAUAUAUAUAUAUAUAUAUAUAUAUCAUGUGAUAUAUUUAUAAGUUAAUAUUUAUAAGUUAAUAUAUAAAGAUUUAUUCAAUUUAUAUAACUAUUAUCUAAAAUAUAUAAAAAAAUUUAACUUUCUAAAAUUAUUAGCCUCAAUGUAGGAAUUAUCUUAAAUGAUGCAUCAUAUUUUUACCAAUGUCAUUUAAUAAAGUUAUUAUUGGCAUGCUAAAAUAGUAUAGGAUCAAUUUAUGCUUUGUAGCAUCUCCUUUUAGAAAUGCAUGCACUACUAAAAUAAAUAGAAGGAGGUAGAAAUAAAUAGAAUUAUAUUAUAUAAAGAAAUUGUUUUUUCAAAAAAUAUUGUGGAAGUUUUUUAAAUAAUCAUUAGAUGCUCAAGUGCUUUUAGAUAAGACACGUGAAUGUAAUAACUUUUUGUUAGAAGAUUUUAGAUCUAUGAUGCUACUACAAAAGUAUUUUUACAUCAAGUAAACUGUGAACUUGUGUGAUAAUAUAAAUACAAAAGAAAUAAGUAUAAAAAUAAUAUAAUUAUAUUAUUAUAUCUAUUAUAAAAUAUAAAGCAUCUUAUAUUUCAAAAAAGAAAGCAUUGACAAGUGCAAUUUAUGUAAGGAUAUGAAUCUUAAAUUAAAUAAGAGGUGUAACACUUAAAUCUAUAAACAAACUAUGAUGAUAUAUAUUAAUACACUAUCUUGAGUUGCAUAGUUGAGAGUAAAGAGUUGUAAAUCUUGAAUUAUAUUUAACUUAAAGUCUUUAAUUUGCAAAUUUGAUGUAGUAUAUUGAGUGAAAAAUGUAAAGUCUUUGAAAAAAAAGAAGUUAAGAAAUUACCUCCUUGUUGCAAAUUGAAGAAAUAAGAUUAUUUAUUCUUUAUAAGUAUGCCUAAUGUUUUAUUUUAAAUAUUAUUUUUGUCAAAAGAUCACUCCAUAUAGUUGUUAUUGAAGCAAAUUUGAGCUUGAUAUUUUUAGAUUUUUUUAUAUAUAUAUAAAGUAAAAUCAAUGAUCAAUAUGUUAUAAGCAAUCAUGGAAUUUAGAAUUCUCACUAAAUUCAAUGCAAGUCUAAGUAUUACAAUAUAAAAUACUUGGGAGUAAAAGAAAGAAUCCAAGGUCAGUAAUGAUAAUUUGAAGUCAAACAAGUUCUUUAAUUGCAGUAGAUGCAAUAAUGUAUUUAGAUUUUGUUAAAGUUCAAGCUACAAUAGGUUGCUUUUAGCUUUGUUAAGAUAGUAGAUAUGACAUAUUAAGUUGAAAAAUAAAUCCCAAUGUUGAUUUGGAAAUAUCAAUGUUGCCAACUUAAUCUAUAUUUUUCUAUCCAUAUAAUUGAUAGAAAGAAAUUUCAAAAAAAGCAAUGCAAGAUUAGGUAAGUCCUUAUUGUAAUGUAUCAUGAAGAUAAUAAAAUAUUUGUUUAACAUCUUGCUAGUGUAUUAGAAUUAAAUUGUCUAUAAAUUGUGCUAAAUAAUUAAGUAGAAAAGCUAGAUUCCUACAAGUGUAAGUGAUAAGUUAUUGUAAGCUAUCAAGAUCUUCAUUGUAACAAAUUUGUUGCAUGAAUUUUUUUCUUUAGUAAUAAGUUCAUCAAUUUUUUUAUGUGAGUAUCAAAUGCAAGCUUCUAAAAGUAUAACAAUUAGAUAUAAAGUUUCCUUAUGAAAUUUGAUUAAAAGAUCUUAUAUAUUUAUCUAAGAUAUAUUUAUCUUAAAAAAUUAUUAAUGUCUUGUAAGAUUGAUUAUGUUAAAUCCAAAUAUCAAAUAUAUACUUAAUCUUUUAAUUAACUACCAAAGAAAAAUAUUAGAUAAAUAAUGAUUUAGUUGUAAAUAAAUAUUUUGGUUAUUUGAUAUUAAUAUCAAGUUAUUUAUGUAGAGAUCCAAAAGUAAAAUAGAAUUACAAAAGCAUUUAAUAUAAACAUUAAAAUAAUAUUCACAUUUUAAAAAUCCUUUACUUAAGAACUUGUAAUAGACUUACAUAGCUUAUUUAAGGUCUUAGAGAGAUUUUAAGAAUUUACAAAUUUAAUGGUUAUUUUUGGAUUGACUAUGGCUUUUGAAUUAAUUGAUAUAAAGUUCUUUAUUUAAAGUUAUAUUUGAAAAAAAUGUAAUUAUAUCCUAUUAGCAAAUGUGAUGUUUGUACAAUUUUUUUAAGCCUAAAAGAAAAUAGAAAGAAGUUAUUUUGAUUAUUAAAAAAAACUUAUUAAAGUAAUGUAUUCUUUUUUAUUAUAAAAAUUUGAAAAUAAUAUAUAUAUAAGAAGAUAAAGAUUUUUUUUAGAUAAUUUUAAAUUAAAAUAUCAACUUUGUACAAAUAAUGAAUAUAAAUCAUCAAACAAAUUUUCAAUUUUUUAUUAAUUAAUGACUAGUACUCCAUGUCAAUUGGUGUUUUUUAGAAUAUUAUAUUAUUUCUAAUUAAAGAUUCUUAUAUUAAGCUGAACUUAUUAACUUAAGUGAUAAAAGAAUAUAUAUCAAGAUUCUCAUCAUAAAAUUUAGUUCAUUGCUAAGUUCUACAAUUUUAUUGCAAAGAGACUCUUUAAUGAGAAGAUUAUUUAUUUUGGAAAUAAUGUACUUAUUAAUGAGGUAAGAGAGCUAAAAUAGAAUUAUUUGCAAAAAUAUUGUAGUCAAAGAGCUUAUAGAGAAGUAAUGGGAACUUUUCAAAUAUAACUUGACUAGAUACUUGUGUUUUUUAGGUGAGUUUAAAUAGUCCUAAAUGGUUGUUAUAUGUCAAUUCUAUCAAUGCAUCUUAUUUGGUAGAGUUUUUAAAAAUAUAUAUUUUAAACUACUUAAAUAUAAAAUUAAAGGAUUAGAUAAUAUAUUUUAUUAUAUAAAUAUUUAUCAAAAUUUAGAAGGAUUUAUGAAUUACAAGAGUCUUAUUAGAAAAAAUAUCUUAAAAAUGGAGUCUUGAUAAAUUUUAGAGGCAAUUAUCUUAGUUAGUUUAGUAUUUUGUUUGAAAGGUAAGAAUUAGUGUUAAAUUAUUAUGAAUAACAUCUAAACUAGCCUUUUAUUUACAUAUAUUAUUUAUUCAAAUCCUACAAAUGUUAGUUACUAUGUAGAAGAAGUAGAAGAAAGAAUCUCAUAACUUUUUGCUUAUUUAUACAAAAAAUAAAAUAUUUUGUUAAUUUAAGUAGAUUAUAUUAUUAUAAAAAAUUAAAAAAUUAGAAAAAAUAAAUUUUCUUUGAUAUUAAAAUUAUAAGAUUAUUUUAGGAAUUUUUAGAAUUUAUUCAAACAAAUUUAGGAAUAUUUAGAGCAUCUUUUUAAGACUAUUGAAAAUAAUUUUACCACCUUAGGAGGCUAUUAUGAAGAAUUUGAGAAAGAUUUAAAUGCCCUAUAAGGUUUUUGUGCUAAUUAGAUAUUUUUAAAUACUAUGGUAAGGUCAAAAUUUUAAAUAAAGUAAUUUUAUAAAUAAAAAAAUAAGAGGACUAAUAACUAGUGUAGUACUUGUAAGAACAAAGGUAUAUAUGUCCCAUAUAGAUUAUAGCACCUUGAAUGUAAGUAGGAGUAUAAGACUAAGACUUCUUGGCCUCUCCAAGACACCCAUAUACACUACUUAUUAGCCUUGUUGAGGCUCAAAUUCUAAACCUCUUAAGCAACUUAUUCUUGAAGUAAAAUAUAUUCACUAAAGUUUUUUAUUUUUUACUUCUUAUCUUUUAACAUUUAUAAUUUAUUAAUAAUAAUUUUAAUUUAAAUAUUUUUUAAUUCAUUAUAAAGAUAAAAAAUAGUAUUUAAUUUUUUUUUAAAAAAUAUUUUAUUUUUAUUAAGUGAAAUCUAGUGAAAAAAUUAUGGCUAAUUUUUAGAUUUUGUAUUUAUUUGAUUACAUUUCUUUUAAAUUUUUUUUGCAUGUGUGAGUUCUUCUAAUAAUUUUUAAUUGAUAGAAUUUUUUUAAAAUCAUACUUUAUAGUUAUUUAGAUAAAAUAAUAUUAACAUUAAAAAGUCUAAUUGAUUUAAUUUAAAUAUUUAAUUAUUAAAUUCAAUAUUUCUAUUGGCCUUUUAUCUACAUGUAUUAUUUAUAAAAAAACUAGAAAUAUUAGUUAAUAGAUAAUAGAAGUAUAAAAAAAUAAAUUUGUAUAUUUUUUAGUUAUUUAUUUAUAAAAUAGAAUUUUUAGUUGAUUUAAUUUUUUUCUAUAAUAAUAAAAAUAAAAAAUUAGAUUUAAAUUGAAAUUAGAAUUUCAAAUAAAAUAUAAUUUUUUUAAUAAUUUAUUUAUAAUUUAUUUAAAAAUAUUAGAAUUUUUUUAAGACUUUGGUAAAUAUAAUUUUUACAUAUUCUAUAUGGAUUGUAGCACCUUGGAUGUAGGUAAGAGGAUAAACUAAGGCCUCAUAGUCUCUCUAAAAAAUCUAUAUACACUUCUUAUGAGCCUUGGUGAGGCUCAAGCCCUUGAUUUUUAAGCAAGUUAUCUUUGAGGUCAAACGUAUUUACUUCAUUUUUCUAUUAUUUAUUUUUUAUCUUUAAAUUAUUAUAACUUAUUUAAAAUAACUUAGUUUUUAAUUUAUUAUAAUAUUAAAAGAAUUUAUAUAUAUAUAUAUAUAUAUAUAUAUAUAUAUAUAUAUAUAUAUAUAUAACUAUUAUUUUUAAUUUUUAUUGAAUAAAAAUAUAGUGAAUAGAUUGUUAAUAUUUGUGUAGAGUGUAAUUUCUUGAUUGCAUUUGUUCACUUAAUUUUUGUUUGGUCUUCUUUUUUUCGUAUUAUUUGCUUCUUCUACUUCAUACAACCAAUUAUAAACAACUCUUAAUUGAAGCUAUCUUGUAAUUUGGUUUGAAGAAUGAAUUUUAACCUUAAAUCUUGUUCUUCUUUAUUUUUUGUUAAUUUUAUCUUCUAUUUUAUACCACCAAUUACAAGUAACUAUUAAUUGAGAAUAUUUUGUAAUUUGGAUUAACAAGAGACUUUACCUUCAUAUACAUUGAUUAGUUCUAGAGUCCAAGAAUUAAAAAGAAUAAGUGUUAAGAUUAAUAAUUAUGAUACUAAAUAAAUAUAGUAAUUUAUUUUUGAAAAAACUAUUAUUAUCAAGUUAAAAAGAUAGAUCCAUGUAAUCACGUUUAUUUUAUUUUAUGCACUUUGGAAUUUUAUGACCAAAUAUGCUUCAAUAGUUGCAAAUGAUUAAAGAAGAUUGAAAGUUACAUAUUGAUCUUAGAGGUGAAUUAUUCCAAUAAAAAAGUUAAUUGAUACUUGGAUAAGGAGUUUUACAAGUAUGAAAAGUUAAUUUGUAUAAAGGUGGUUUUAUAAAGUUACUUUUAAUAUAAAAAAAUAUUUGUAAGAAAAUCAAAUUUGAUAUCAAAGAAUUAUUAAGAUUAUUUUGUUGUAAAAUGUUGAAGAGUAAAAUUUGUAAGAUUAGAGCUUUGAUUUCUUCUAUCUAACUUUUAAAUCCUUCAAUUGCCAAGUUGAGACAUAAUCUUUCCAAUUAUAAGAUUGUAAGGUCUAAAAAAUUGCACAUGGCUCUCAUAUCAUGUGUGAUAAGAUUAGUACACAUGAAGUAAAUAUAAAAUGAAUGUGAGUAUAUUAUUAUACCAAUCACAAAGCAUGAAGCAUCUUAUGCUUCAAAGAGGAGAGUUCUGAUAAAGAGGACAGUUCUGAUAGGUGCAAUUAAAUAGAGCUGGAGCCGUGACUCCUAAGCUAACUAGGAGAAGAUUACUGAUAGGUGCAAUUUAUGUAGAGCCGUGUCUCUCAAGCUAAGUAAGAUGUGUAACGCUUGAGUCUGUAAUCAAACUAUGAUGACAUGUAGUAACAGAAUUUAGCGCCGCAACGUAACUGUCGAAUCUGGAAUGGAGCUUGCUGGAUCGGAACUAUGUUGAAAGAAUUGCUGGGUGGAGGUGGGUUGGCCACCUUGGGGAAGGUCGAGAAUUCUUAGAUUGUUUCAUGUACACGACCUUUAUGUUUGUUCAUUCUUGUUAAUCAUCUUCUGCACAUCAGUAUUUACGUAGGAUACGGUUGUACUAAAAUCACUUCUUUCAUCUCAAAAUGUUUAAGUUUCUAUCAAGAGCAAUCUAAUCGGUGUUUCACUAGAAUCUCUAGCAUUUGGAUCUACAGCCUCUGACACUCCGUCAGCUUCCAUCGUUUCAAAAUCCUUCUUUUCUUCAAUCUCGACACCGAAGUGCAGCCAUAGCCGCCCCCGGCCCUUGCCGAGGACUCGAUCAGGUGAUGCAAAACCGACGAUCCUAUGCCCAGAGGGUCGACCCUCACAAACAAAUUGAUUCCUUCGCCUUCUUAUAAUGUACUCCAUGUACAUGGGACACAGAGAUAUGUGUGCGGGGCCAAAUCCUGUUACAUAGAAGCAGUGAUUCUCGAACGGGAUGAAUCUCAGGAACAGCUCCAAUGCCUCCUUAGCCUGCUUGAUUAUGGUGCCACACAUUGAGCCCGAUUGACCCACCAGGAAGAUGGGCCCCAAUGCUCUUAGCAGGUUCAGCGCUAACCGAGGCGAACACGAUAGAGCAAUUGCGUGGGUUGCAUCAUUGGGGUGGCGCUCCACCAACGCGCGCUUUUGAUCGUACACAGCCGAUUGCGCGAUGACCACCAGAUCACGUUCCAGAGCAGAAUCUGCCAUCACGCUCACCCUCGCACGAUUCGGUUCGAGGGAGAUGGUCGGACAACUCUCGCUGCAGCUGUUGCCUGGAUGGAUUUGGAUGGGGUGGGAAGGAGAUUGGAUGGAGAUUGAGGGCUUCAGCAUGACACACGACAUAGCUUAGAAGUUCAAAAAUCGACGAUCAAGUCUGCUGCAAUUGCAGCGAUUUCUGUCCUAUUUUCCCAUACCGGGGAGCAACUUACAGCACAAAAGCAAGCACAAAUCUCUUCUAUGUUCAUCAGAUACUCCAAAUUUUGACAAAUUUAGGUGUGGUAUGGUAGCUUAUGAAAAACAUGAAACAUCAGUUCCACUGGAUCUGACUGUCACAUCGAAUGUGCUAGUAUCAAUCAGUGCUGCUCCCAAUGGCUGCAACACUCACCUUCAAGCUUCAUCUACGAAUGUCUUGCUUUUCACAACUUCGUGUCAUCGACUCCAAAUCCUGCGCAAGAAGCCACAUCGGAUGUUGAUCCCAGAAUGUUGACCAUGACCGCACAUACCGACAUUAUUGGUGGAAAUCUAAGAGGUAAGAUCAAAGUGAAAUAUAUCUAUAUAUAUAUAUAUAUAUAUAGUGAUACAUAGUUAUACCCAGACACUCAUCUAUGUAUGUUACUUCCGAAUUUAACAAAAAUGUGUUGCCGACUUAACCCAGAUCUAGAAAGGUUUCUUAGCUCAUUUAAAUUUACACCAAUAACUCAUUGGUGAUGGAUUCAUGAUUCGUUUAUUACCUCCGUCAUCAACUUGUGCAUUGCAAGAACAUCUUGAUUCGUUGUUACAACUGUAGAUCUUGCAUAAACGUAGUGCAUAGAACUACUCAAUCAUCAUAAUCCGCACACUGCAAGAUCGGAACAUGUCAAUAAUGAAUCCAAAAUUGGAAGGUCGGACUGAUAAUUGUAUCUGUUUUCCAUUAGCUUUGGAGGCCAUGCAUGGACUCGCUGAGAUGAACACGCCGCACAUGAAAUGAACAAUCGUAUCAAGCAGACAGUAACUUUUAAAAAAAAUCAUCUUUACUACUACUGCAUUUGAUUUAGACGCAUGAGAAGCGGCACCUCCUCAUCGUUCUCAAUUUCUUUUACAACCGUCUAAGAAUUGGUUGCAACGAGUUCAUAAGCCGUAUUUAUGAGUGCCAGAUAUCCUUAUGGAAUAUACGUUUUCCAGUUCAGUUGUCAUCGCUGUCUCAAGAUUACACCUGAGCCUUCUGCAAGGCAACUCACGUAGAUAGAGCUUUCCUGUUGUGCACAGAUAAUCAUCGAAUCCCGAGUCAUGAACAGAAUCGUGUUGCUGUCGGAUUGUCUGCUCUGAAGAAGAGUGAGGUGUGAGAAAGAUCCUAACCAAGUCUCUUGUAAUUGUACAAACUUUUAUCUGUACUAAUUCUUUUCCGAAGAACCUCUCACAAAAUCGCGCACCUACGUGCUGAAAGCCAAAUAACGUAGCAUGGUCUCUUCUUUGUGAAUCGACAACGACAUUCCACACCCUGUGAGCACCCAUGUCCAUAAACUAUAUGAGAAGUUAUCAUGGAGUGGGACAUUCAUUCCGCUUCCAGGAUAUAUUCUUUACUGAACUUAUCUACCAACUUGAUGUACUCGCGAACACCUGUUUCGAACCUGCGUUGCACAGGUCCCCAUUCGCAAAUCUGCAGAAUUCAGUUGUAUCCAUGGAUGAAAGAUCCUUACUUUGUAAAUCAUAAGAGGCUAUUCUAUUCUACAAACGAGAACACACAUCGCUCAUCACACAAACAGUCAACAAUCUACAAUAUCAACAACAGAAGAGGCCAAUUGAGAUAACACAUAACAUUCUAUAUGCAUGCGCAAUUCCCCUCAGACGACACAUCCAAGUGCAAAACAAUGCACUUGCCAACCCCAACACAUUUAGUUAGCCACAUUACGUAUCCGCUCACCUGGGUUCGUAAAUGCCAUAGCGACUCUAUGCAUACUGAAAUCCUAAACCCUGAAGCCUGAUCCUCGUCCAGUUGUUCUUUUUAGCCUGGGGAACAUUCAGGUUCUGGGCCCAAGAGGUUGUGAAUGGAGUCUGCAUCUAAUACCAUUAUAUGUACGUGGACAGAGGAUCAGAGCUACGCAUCGUGGAUAGGAAUGAGAUAGGAAUCAAGUCCAUCCUGAAGCUUGAAAAUCAAUUCUGGUGUGGCUUGUCUGCAACGCCGUCAGAUUGAUGCCAAGCAGUGACAGCUUCCGUUCCUUUUGGACUGUGUCUCGAUAGCUUUGGUAAUCGGGUCCAUUUCAUGGCCCAAUUUGGAGGCGUUUUCCUUUAAUUGCACAUCUCGGAUUGCACCGAAAUCCCUUUUUUGUAUUAUUUUAAUUUCUUUUACAUUUUAUAACACAAAAAAUAUAAACUCUAUUGCAUCCACUAACUGAGAGAGGUGGAAAUAAAUUAGAAAUAAACAUCAAAUUUUAAUCAAUUUGUACAUUAACAUUUUGCUAAAUUUGAGUAGGUGUUUGGGACAUGCUCUAUUGUGCUUUGAUGUAGAUUAUAGAGUUGUAAGGAAUGCAUCUAUCAUAGGAUAAAAUGAGUAUACCUCGUAGAUUGGUAUAAUCCUCUAUGUAGAUGCACAAUUAUAAACAUAAUAUUAAUUUUUUUCUUUUUUCUUUUUUCUUACACCCUUUAUAUCUUAAAUUAAUUUUUAUUAAUAUUCAAUUUUUUUGAAGUUUUUUUCUUCCAAAAAUUAAGAGCUACAAGCUUAUGUUAAGUAUGUUAAAGUAAUCAUAAUUCUUUCUAUUAUAUAUAUAAUUAAACCAACAAAGAAACUUGGAUGAAUAAAUAUCAUAAUUCUUUCUAUUAUAUAUAAUUCUUAUAAAUAUAAUAAAUUUCACUUGUAUAAAAAUUAAUUACAAUAAUAAGGUCUUUUUAAUAAAAUAAAAUUGUAUCCUGUAAGUUGGUCUGUUUUUCUAUAAAAAAAAAUUAGACCUCUAACAACAACAAUCAAUUUCACUCUUUUUAAAAACCCUUCUCAACUAUUUAUUAACAAAUCAACUAUUCUUUUAAAUUUUGAUUUUACCAAGUAAAAUUUCAAAUAGAUGAAUACUUUAUAUGUAUAUAUAUAUAUAUAUAUAUAUAUAUACAUAUUUUAAAAUAAAGUUGAAAUUGUUGAUUUUCUUAGAAAAUUAAAGAUAAUAAAGAAAAUAUGAUAUUUUGGUUGAUAUUUUAUUAUUAUAAUUUUUAAUCUUAAAUUUUUCUUAAAGAUAUUUUCUUCUUAUAGAAAGUUAUGGUAACUUUUUUUAAUUUUUUAUUUAAAUAUUAUUUUAAUCCAAUCAAUAUAAACUAAGCUAUAUACUUGAAGAAAAUAGUCUAGUAUGUGCUUUGGUUUCCUAUGCCCUUCUUUAUGUUUCAUAACCUAAAUAAAUUUUUAGAAUUUGUACCAUGUAUCUCUAUAGUUCUUAAACAACAAAUUAUUAAAAAUAAAGUCUAAUUAGUAAAAAAAAAUCUAUAAAGAUAAUGAGAUACUAUAAUUUUUUUUAAUUUAAUUGAAAUCUAUGUUAACAAUUUUAAAAUUAAUAUUUUUAAGUUGUAAUAAUUUUAUUCUAUAUUUUUUAAUUAUUUUUCUUUUUGAUGUUUUGAAAAAAUUAAGUAGCCCAACUUUGGUUGCUACCUUCUUUUAAAAUGAAUUCAAAACUACCUAAUUUUAUAAUAUAAGAUACCAUACAGGUUGAUUUGACAUAGUUCACUUGCCUUGAUAAUCUAUUUGGUUUUAAUAUAUAUAUAUAUAUAUAUAUAUUUAUCUAAUUUAUUUAUUUAUUUAUUUAUUUCAUAUCUAAUAAUAUAAGAAUUAACAUAUAAUUUUCUUUCUUAUUUUCAUCUUUUUUAGUACCAAAUUAUUUAUUUGUAAUUUCUUUAGUCCAUUUUAGAUCUUUAUAAUUUAUUAUUGUUUAAUUGUUUUUUAAAUAGAAAAGAAAUAUAUAUAUAUAUAUAUUUUUUAAAUGGUUUUGUAUUUUUUAUUUUUUUUUCUGUUUUUUUUUUGUAGCAUUGACUGUUAUAUUAUUCUACUUUAUAAAUUUCUUAUUUAUUUUGCCAACUAAAAAUUAUUAAUAUAUUUUGUAGAAAAUAACAGCCCACAUGAAAUUUGUAAUGGUUUCUUCAUAUCAUCAUACUUUACUUACUUCACAUAAAAUUAGUUGAUACAUUAGGGUUAGAUGUCUUCUUUUAACUACCAUUUUUUUUAAAAAUUAAUAAUCUUAUUCAAUGUUAAAUUUAUAUUUUAUAUUUUUAAUGUUAUUUCAAAUUAAUUUAUAUUUACUAAGUAAUUCAUAUGAAGAAUCAUUAGCAUAUUGUGCAGUACGAAUUGAAUUUAUUUCUUUCAUAAUUCUAAUUAAAUGUUUUUGAAAGUAUGCAGUAGUUUUAGCUAAGUCGGUAAAUAGGAAAGAACAUUGGUUUUGAAGUUUCUUUAUUUGUGCAAAUUUAGAGGAUUACAUUGUAGUGCUCAUAGGCCUUGAAUUUGUUUUUAAAAAGAAAUUUACUAUGAAACAAAUUGGAACUAAAAUGUUAUUGGAUUGCAUUACAAUUAGCACAAGAUGAUGGAUUAUAUACAAUUUAAGAUUCAUAAAUCAUUGCAAGGCAUCCUAAAUUAGAAGUUUAUUUAAUUAAAAGCUCUAGUAGAUACAUUUUUUAAAGAUGUACUACCAUUAUAAAAUUUAAUAUAUAUAUAUAUAUAUAUAUAUAUAUAUUAAAUUUUAAAAGUUUGCAUAUAUGUUUAUUGAUUAUAUGCAAGAUCUAAAAAAUCUUAUUUUUUUUUACAUUUGGCACAAUUUUUUUUUUUGUUGUAUAAAUAAUCAAAAUUAAAAAAAAACGAAAUGAAAUGAAAUUAAACUAAAUGGCUUUUACAUCCUUUAAUACAAUAAACCAUCUUACAUUAAGUUUUGCAUUAUUGAAGAUGGCUUUGAAGGCUUAAAAUUAGUGUGCAUUCUUCAUUAACCAAUUCUGCACUCUCUAAGUUUCAAUUGGCUUUUAAUAAGUUUUAAACUUUAACUGUUUCUUUUUUUAAUUUUUUUUCUGCAUUUAAUUUUUCUUAAGACUUUAGUCCUAAUCACUUGCACUGAACUCUUUGCAUGCAGUGCAACAACACAAAUAUUCCAAUUAAUAAAUUUACUUCAAAUCAAAGUCAAUAGUGCAAUUUCAAUGAUCCUUCUAGAAUAAAAUAUGUUGGACGAGGAUUUAAAAGGAAAUUAGAAAAAACCACCACACACUCUUGACAACCUAGUUCAAAAGUUUUAAUAGGAUAGAGACUAGUAACAACAUGUGCACAAGCAGAAGCCCUACGGUCCUUCCAAAUCCCUCAUCCUGAUGCAUGGGCCUAGUUUAGACUCUAACCAUUAGAUCCACAAAUUCCUUUUUUAUGCUUGCUUGUAACUCCCUCACUUAGUAGCAGAGUGGGUAAUCCCUCUUACGUUUUCAUUUACAAAUAUGCAUAUAAUAUAUUCAACAAAGAGCGUGGAGAGCAGAGAAUACACAGUGGCUCAGAAGCAGUGAAGGAGAAAGAAAGCUGGAAUCAAGAAGAAACCCAAAGAGCAUGAGUCGCUGUGAAGGCAUCGUCGCGGCGCUGCUCCCACCACGUCGCGGGAUGGAUGACAGAGUUUGGAAAUACGUGCAGUGUGGGAUCCGAAGGUCGAGAGACUCUCAUCACCACAAACUAAUGGAAGCGAUGCAGAUGAAGCCCCUGGUGCAGCGACGGGACCUGCCGUAACUGUGCGCGAGAUGGGUGCCUGACUGCCUGCCUGCCUACCCGCUAGAUGCCUCCUCUGCAAAUGAAGAAACUGCCUAUCGAUGCCGGAUCGGAAAGUCAUGACAGAUCCGUCGAAGUGAGAAGAUUUUCAAGCAUGAGACGUGCGAUUAGUCCUGCCACGAAAUCAGUCACUGGACCCACCAUUUACUGGCAAUCAACUACUUUCUUAUUAAAGGGUGUUCCAUUAGUAACGUAAUUUGGGAGGGAGGGAGGGUGGAAUUUGCGAUUGGUGUUAUGUGGCAACAAAAACGAAGUUUGGCCUUCGUGCAUCACUUGCUGCUCCUGUUUAAGUCUGAUCAGUGAGCUUUGUGAUCCUGCAUUUAGUGAGAAUUCUGUUCAGUGCUGAGCACUGAUGUAUCUUUCACUGCAAAGACAUGGUAGUUUGUUUGUUCCAUGGUUGGUAACGCUCUGGUGUGAUUGGAUCGAAUGAAACGAUCUUGUGAUGAGCGGAUACUGGUGUUGUUUAUGACUCGUAGUUGGAGCAUUGUUGUCAUUUUUCGUCAGAGUUUGUGUGCAAGUCAUUUGUGUUUUCUAGGGAGUGGCUGAUGGGGAUACCAGGGGAAGAUGAGAUUUGAUGGGGCACAUUCACGAUUUCCUCACUUCCAGCAGUUACAUUUGUGGUUAUAGGGUCGGUUUUGAUUGCCAGAUGCUUCCCUGACGCCACCAAUUAUAGCUUGGAUAGCAACGACGCUCGAGCACGAAAAUCCUAGUCCUAGAGUCGGAUCUCAAAAAUUAAAAUUUCAAGAUUCUUUUAUUGUUGAAUGCCAUGCAAUCGCAGUUUAAUUGCCCUCAUCUUUGUUCUCAGUUGGCAUAGACUUUCGUAAUUAAUUUUAGCUAUUUCAUCCCUGUCAACAUGUACUUGCCGCUGUUGCAUCGCCCACUGGUGCAUGAAGAACAAAGGACUCGAAUCUGCGGAACACGACACACGGAGAACUCGAAUUAGGCAUAUCUUUGUUGAUAAAUCAGAUCAUACCUGGAAGGCAGUUGGUGAAUCGGAUGGGAUAGAAUGGCACACAACGGGUACAGCGUGGUUGCAGCAGACUCGGAAUCAGGCAAACCUUUGUUGAUGAAGCAGCGAUGGAAUGUGGAAUUUAGAUUCCAGAGGCGUCCCUGUUUGAGGAGGAUAUGUUGGGGGGUUUUUCUGAUGCUUCUCGCCUUUGCAGCCAUUAUAGACAAUUCAGAACUUAUUCCCGAAAUUCGAGGUAAGUUCUGACUGUAUUUUUCUCCACCCUCUUUUCACUUUGCCAUUAAAUUGCAAAUUGACUUACUUUCCGUUACAAUCUUAAAAUUUAAAUAUCGUUGCCUGUGAUCACCGAACGAUGAAAUGAUAGACUUCUAUCCUUCAAUUUUGCAGAUCUCGCGAUUUCAAACCAGUCAGUGCUCAGCCUCCUGGUGUCCUCUGAGAUUCCUUCCCACUGGCAUCAGGAGAUACAACCCGGAAAAACAAUGGCAAGCCUUGAAAUGUAUAUCAAAGAUGUGUUCAGCUUCUACCCCGACGUCCUGGUUCUGAUCCACGUGCCUAAAACCAUCCAGUUUCCAGCCAAGGAGAGAGUUCAAUGCCAAUACGGAGGUGCCACGCAUUUCACUCACAGGAAAGCAUUAGUUGUCAUGCACCUGCUCCAUAAAAAUGAAAUUGCGGUUCUCUGCAGUUCACCACCACAAGAUCUCGUAUGGGUUGUGAAUUCUGUGCUCAUUGAAAUCGAUAAGGGACAAAAAAUUCGCCAUGGGGCUGCCACUCCUGAAUACCAGGAACCAUUGCCGUGGAACUUCAUCAAGGUGGUAUUUGAGGCAUUUGCAAUGGAGAGGGACGUGGUUGUCUUCGUGCAUGGGAUUAAACAUCCUCAGGGGGUUUCUGUCUCGGAGAAUGCUGAACAAGAGCGUCUUAAAAAAUUUCAAUGCAUUUACGGCGGCUACUUUGAAGUCCCUGUAACUGCGCAAUCGCAAGAGGUUUUUCGCUGUGCCCACCCCCCAACAAAUUUGGUCCCUAAAUUCGUAGGGAUGAAGGUAGCAAUUCGGGUUGAGACGAAAAUUCUAGCUUCCGUUGCAUAUUACAGUCCAAUGCACUCUCGUGAAUCUUUCCACACAACAAUGGUCUCAAGGGCCGCUGGGGAGAAAUCCAAUCCCAAGCUUCAUCACAUUUGCGCGUGCACUAUGAUCUUUAACGGUGCCAAGUUUCUGAAAGAGUGGGUGCACUACAACCACCACCUGGGUGUGGAGAAAUUCUACCUCUACGACAACAACAGCGAAGACAACCUCGACGAAGUGAUCGAAGGCUUGAGGAGCUUCAAUAUAAAGAAGCAACCAUGGCCAUGGGUGAAGACUCAGGAGGCAGGCUUUUCUCACUGCAGCUUGUCUGCGCAAUCGGAGUGCACAUGGAUGUUCUACAUCGAUGUUGACGAGUACUUUUUUCCAAAUCAGCACUUUCUGGAAACCGGAGUGAAAUCCCAAGCCCCCGAUUUGCAACCGACAACAACUUCCUCGUCGAUAAUCGCUUUGUUUAUCAAUGAGGCAGCUGGGAAAAACUCCAAGGUGGGGCAAAUCAGCAUUUUUUGUCAUAACUAUGGGCCCUCUGGCUUCACAGCUUCCCCUCCGCAGGGCAUCACGCAGGGAUACACUUGCCGAAUAAAAAAACCCGAACGGCACAAAUCGCUUGUGCUAUUGGAUUCAGUGGCGACGAACUUGUCGAAUGUAAUCCAUCACUUUACCUUGCAAGAUGGUUACGAGACGAAGCUGAUGUCUACUGAUGUGGCUGUUAUCAACCACUACAAAUAUCAGGCAUGGGACGAAUUCAAGGUGAAGUUUCGCCGUCGUGCUGCGACGUACGUCGCGGACUGGACGGAGAAUCGUAACUGGGCCUCCAAGGAUCGCGUGUUGGACUUGGGGACGAAGGCCGUGAAGCCUCACGAUUGGGAGAGUCGAUACUGCGAAGAGCGGGAUUACGGGCUGCGGGACUACGUUAGGCAUGUGUUUGGGUCUUACGAUGACAACCAAACUUUGCGUCUGACUUGGGAGUAAUUAGAGUUUGAAGAAAAAAGCCAACAAUCCACAAUGCAUCUCAAACAUAUGAAACAUGUCGGAGAAGAAGACAUAAUUGCACCUCGAAAGCAGAUUUCAGUAUUGCGAGCAAGACAGCUACAUUUCGAGCACUUCAUGGUGCCUCGAGGACUUGGCAGAGAGCUUUGGAUUUUAAGAAAGACUGUGCAACACAACCAAUUUUUUGGAUACGGAUCAAUGUAAAAGCCAGGAAAGCAACUAUUUUUAAAUCUUCAUGUUGAUGAUAUCUUGGUGAAGGAGGAUCCCAUUUUCGGUAGACUAUUUAAUGCUGUAUUCGCAUCGGGAAAGCUGACCCUAAUACUACGGUUGCUGUGUACACACACACCAAUCACCGAAAUCGCGACAACUGCAACAUAUUCCUACUGGUGUUGAGUUUCUCGGAAAUUGGCUUUUCAGCUAGAGAGAGAAAAGGCAGAAACUCUUCUGGCACUAAUUCCACACUCAGUCAGGGAUGUGAGUGGUUUCCUAUCCAGAAUCUUUGGCUACUCUGUGGCUACUCUGUGGACUAUAUUUGCUAGUGUGCUCUGGAUGGGGCACUUCCAUUGUAUAACGAAGCCUGUGAAUGGGAUUUACAUCAGAGUUGAUCUCGUGAGAAUCUAGAAAAUCUGGAGAAGAUCUAUUAGAUUGCCCUCUAGAUUGUAGAAGCGGUGAAUAAAGAAGACCAGGUGGCAUGACAACUCGGAUACGAAAUCUGUUGUUCUAAUUUGAGUAUCUGAAAUGGAGUAUUUUGAAUCUUAAGAUAUUUUUCUAAGUUUUCGUCGGUGUGGGUCUAUGCCGCAGCUUCCCUUUCAGUUUGCGCACAAGAAGGAUGCUGUUGACCUUAUUAUAGCAAGUUAACAAGGACCGUUGGAGGUUACUCCACACACAAACCCAUUUCGGGUCAUAAUAAGAAGAAUGUAAUCAUAAAAAUACACCUCAACAAGUGUUCUGCGCACAAGUGUUUUUCCUUCAAGCCUUGCAAUUUCCAGGUCCAUGUCAAUUUUAUUAAAAUAAAUGCCUUGACCGAAUCUGAAUAAUUUUAAAUAUAUAAACAUUGAUUUGCAUUCUGAAAGCUAUGCGUGAAGUGCAAGUGAAAGCAGCUGGAUGUUGCUGCAACGAUCCCCAGGAUAUAUCUAUAAACUGUGUUGCAAAUACUUUUCAAUUUGUUGCGCAAAAUGUUCAGACCUCAUAGUGGACAGGAAGGAAUUGCCUUUGCUCUUUCGGUAGCUCGACGAAGAUAUUCAAGUGUUCGGUGUCAGGCAGCACUCCAGAUGGCGUACUCUUCGCCCAGUUGUUCAGCACAUAGUUCGCAACAGUGGCGCCAACAAUUUCGCCAUCUCGGGUAGAGCUGUUGUAGUGUGCUCCGGAGUAAAUCCGGCCUAGAAUGGAUUCCUCCACAGCUGCAUGAAUGGAGUCGUAUCGGCGAGUACCGAUGGGAGCCCCCGGUGUGUGUACGCAAUUGGCGCCGAACACACCUGAGCCUUCUAUCGAGAAAGGAACUAUUUUCUUGCCGAAGAAGCUCUGCAACACUGUUGCCCCCGUGGAGAAGAUCGCCACAGUGCCGCUGGGAUACUCCGGGUCAAAAAAUGUGUAAGCCCAGGGAGUCCAGUUCGGAAAAGGGGCAUGGCGCUCGUCACCAGUACGAAACGCAUCGGCGGGACGCCAAAACCAGUACCCAUCCUUCAUGGUCAUAACCACAAUUUGCGUUUCGUGCAUUGCAACGCUCAUCUUUGCAAGCAGCGUGACUACGUCGUAAAGGGGGGUCUUCUUGGGCACGGAGUUGAUCGCCGCAUUGAUCCAGAACAUAUCGCUAUUGCAACCCACUGUGGUAAAUGAGACCUCUUCCUUGGAGCAGCUGAAGAGGUCCGCCGUGCGGUUCAUUGCUGCUGUACGCCCCGGCCAGUCGAUCCUCCCCAGAUUUACCAAGCUGUCAUACGCAGCGUCCCACGCAUUAGAUGGCACCUUGGGCGGUUUCAAAUCGCCCAAAUAUUCCUUUACGAAGUCCACCGCGUUGGGGAGAACAAAGGGCUGUUCUAGGGAGUAGUAGUGAGUAACCAAAGGCGCGGUCUCGUUAUGUGGCGUGCCGGGCACGUAGCCGAACAGCCCGGGGCGGUCCUGUCGAGUUUUGAUAGCGUUCCGCACCUCCUGAACUAAAAAUUCUCGCAGAGGAGAUCGCUUGUCAAUGAGGCGCUUAGCCACACCUUUACCAAGACGCUUGGCCAGCCUUUUCUGGGUCGCGGUCAGUUGCAGAUCUUCCAGCUGCCUAUCGAGAAGAGGAUCAAUGAGAACGUCGCUGCUGAAAGGGAAAUAGUUUUGUAGUACUGUGCGGGAUGCGUACGCGACGACAGCCUCCUCCGUGGUGCAGCCUCCCGUUCUCUUCAAUGCAAUGAGGGCGUGCCACUGGGCCAGAUUCAACGUAGCCAUCAGGAUGCUGGACUCAAAUGUUAUUCCUGUAGUGGAGCAGAAGAGCUGCAUGAAGAGUCGGAUCCAUUGCACGGAUACGUUGUCUUGUGCCGCUGCUCCUCGUGCACUUGUGAGUAUCAACACCAAUAGUACAACUGGGAGAACCGCCAAUACAGCCCUCGAUCUGGCCAUCUCUGCAAUCAACAUCACAUUGAAUCAUGUCUUAGAUCUCCAUGUUUGCCACCUAUAAUUGUCUAUGGACAAAACGCUCAGCUGCUCUACACAGUGUUAAGAGCUGAUCGUAGUCAAAAACUCACAGAAAAUUAAUUCAGUCCACACAACUGCAGCACAUAAUAAUGCGCUCGUAAAGCAUGACUUGAUUACUGCAAACAGUGCUGAAUUUUUUCAAAAGUACAUGUUCGAAGAAGCUCUUCAAUAAAAUCGAGCACCAAAGCUGCGUAAGCAAUAGAUCUCUUUUGACUAUGUAGAGAUGUUCUUUGAAGCCUAGAUCCUCCUACAAGUCUGAAUCCCGUGUCACCAAUUGAAUUUCUUGAGGAACAAUAGCCCCAAACCUGGAUGUAUGCUGAAAGGUCUGCAAUGGUUCUACCAGUGAUGGUAAUGAGGGGGAACCUCUUCCAAUGAAGAGAGACGUGGAAGCUUCAGGGAGCCAUUUUCUGGUUCCAGUGACACGGGAAAGCAACAGGUCUUUUACACCCAGUGGUGCAGAUCCGUCUGCUUCAAAUCCAACUUGUUCUUUCAGGUCUCCCCCACUUGAUUUGCCGCCGCUCCAAGCGUGACACCCGUGGGUCACUGCUCCCAGAAACUUUAGUGAAAUGUGCGGACAAAAGACCUAUUACACAAUAACAUUUGCCAUGAAUACAGUCCUCGUUGACAUUUUGAUUCCGUGCAUAACAUCUUUUGAAAUUGGCACAAGUUCCGCACAUUCCAGUCAGCAAGUGAUAAGGUUAUUGCGACAAGUCACUUACACACCUCUCUAUCCACAAUGUAGUAUAAGAAGUAUAACUUUAUUAGCAUAGGUAAAUUGUCACUUGUACGAACCAUCAGGGGGAUAAAGAGGAGCAGCGGUAAGAUAAAGUGAUUAAAAUCACUUUAUCCGAAAAUCCAACUUGGAAACUACAACCAGUAAGGAUAAACUGAUCUAAUUAGCAUUGAUAAUAUAAAUUGUAAGACUCUGGUGAACUUCGACAUCUCUUGAUUGAUACACUCUUGGUUCUGCGAAGUAAAGUGUCAUUUUCUACAUUUCAUUUUCUACAUUGUCAAAUACAGCCUUUUGAGGUGAUAUUUCAUCCAUGAUGAGAUUUUGAAGUAUCUUAUGAUAUUUGGAUUUGAUAUUUCAAAUGAUCUUAGAAAUAUCAAUUAACAUAUUGAGAGUAUUAAAUGUAGCUGAUAGUCUCUACACCAUUUACUAUAGUCUAUCAUAUUUAUUGUAGCUACAAUGUUCAAAAUGUAGUGGAAAGACAUUGUUUAUUUUCUCUCCUUCUCUUUGUAUAAAAGAUAUAACCCUAUCAAUAAACUUACUUCUUGUAAAUGUGUGUUUACAUAUGUGUGCAUAUUACUUCUAGCUACUCUUGUCUCUCUUUUUCUAAAAUAUUCUUAAUAUAUUAUCAGCACAAUUGUUUUUAUGUUGUAAUCUUGGUUCUUAAAAACUUAUGUACACUUUAUUCUUUAUUUCUUCCUCAAUUUUUUUUCUUCUUCUAUUGUUGUUGCUAUCAUGUGUUGCUACUAUUGUUAUUGGUGUUACUGUCUUCUAUUGUUGUUGCUAUUACUAUCCUGUGUUGUUGUUGUUGCUACUGUUGCUCUUUCAUGUUACUGCUAUUGUGUUAUUGUAUUAUUGCACCCUAUUGUCAUCAAUUGUCAUCAAUUGCCAUCAAUUGUCAUUGACUGUCGCUGUCGUAUUACGUGUUUUGCUCUGAAAUGCACCAGGCACUUAGCUGUAGAAGGUGAGAUUAUGUUUCACAAUUAGUAAAGAAAUCCUAAUAGGUUUCAUCCAUACGAGAAGAAUAUAAUCUGAAUUUCAAUUCAAAAGUGCUUAAAACACUCUUCUUAGUAGUCUUAACCAUACAUAAAUCCCAAUUACCUUGUUACUUUCAUAUUUAAGCAAUUUAGAUUUUUCUUGUAAAUCCCAAUCCUAAUUAGUGAGCUUUAGCAAGCUGUAAUAUCCAAUCCGACCAUCUACUUGAUAUGGAAUUUUACAUACGAUUGUCAAUGAAAGUCCUCUAAUUGCUAAAGAAUGUUUAGUCCAAUAUAACUAACAGAUUGUGAGAAAACCUCCAAAAAUUGUACCAAUGUCACUCGGCCGCCAACUUGAAAAGUGAAACAGAAAUCUUAGCAAUGAUUUCUCCUUCUCCAACUAUUAAUUUUGUUUCAAAAUUGGUAUGUAGCUUGAUCUUUAAGUUUUCCAACACCAUGUCAAUUUUUACCUUAAUCCGACCAAUAGAUCUUAAGAUAUCAUAGAAACCCUACCCAACCUCAAACUGCCACCUUCUAAAACCCUCUUGUGCUAAAAACUAGAUAUCUCUAAACCACACUGUUAGAUUAUUACAAAAUUUUGUACACACUUAGUACAUCCAAUAAUUAAAAUAAUAUCAAAUUUUCAACCAUAGAUGUCAUGCCAAUUGCACGAACUAGCCAAAAUUUCUAACCCUAAUUAUAUUAAAUAAAACCCAAACCACUGAUACAAACCCUUACUUUGAAUAAUAAUUGCUAAGUCCUCAAAAACCCUCUCAAAACAAUUCUUACGUCUUUGGAAAGAAAUUCAAGCGAGCUCUCAAACCCUAACCUUUGAUCUUUGAAUGAAUCCCUAUUUUGUCCUAGGCUGUCAUUUUAGUAGCCAAAGGUCUGAUUUUGACCUUGUCAUACAAAUGGUGUUGUAUUAUGUGAACUCUUGCUUGAGAAUGCACUGAGCACCUAGCUGUGGAAGGUAAAAGGAAAUUGCAACAAAAGGUCUUAAUAAUCUAAUAGGAUUAUAGAGAAAUUAUAAUUAAAUCUUAAUAAUCAUAAUCAAACAUUAAGCAAGCUCAAUUAAAUUUUAUUGAAGUUAUAAAAGAAACACAAAGAAAUCCUAAAGAAAUAUAAAAGAAUAUUAAAGAAAACUUAGUCAAACUCUAACAAAAAUCUAAUAAAAUCUUAAAUUCUAACCAAACCCUAAUCUUAAUCCAAUCUUAAUCAAAUCCUAAAAAAAUCCUAAAUCCUAAAUAUACCCUAGUCAAAUCUUAGACAAAUCUUAAUCCUAACAAAUCCUAAUAAAUUCCAAACCCUAAACAAACUCUAGUCAAAUCCUAACCAAACCCUGGUCAAAUCCUAACCAAAUCCUAAUCCUAAAAAAUCCUAAAUCCUAAUCAAAUCCUAAAUCCUAAACCAAAUCCUAACAAAUCCUAAAUCCUAAAUCCUAAUCAAAUCCUAAACCCUAAGCCCUAAUCAAAUCCUAAAUCCUAAACCAAAUCCUAACCAAAUCCUAAUUACAGAUUUGAAAAUUAAAUAACUAAAGAUUGAACUGUUGAUCUUAAUUCAAAAUUUGCACACUUCUUGGAGUUUAAGUUAGAAACCAGCACACAAAUUCUGAAGAAAAUCGCACUUACCAAUUAGUCGAUGACCUCAAAAUUCCGCUUGGAUGUCGGCUGGCCUCUCCUUCUUCAAUCUUGAUGCCAACUUCUAGUGCUGAUAUCUCCUUUUUCCACCGUUCGAUUGCUUCCAAAUUUUACUUGCAUAUAGGAAAUCAAGUCUUCUAUUGAUAAAACUAAGAAUCUCUCCAAUCCAACUAGCAAAUUGUUAGAUAUCUAAGAAAACCUUACUAGUCUUCAAAACCCUAAAUCCCGAGACCUUAGCCCACAAAAACCUUCAUAUGUAUCGAUCUAGCCAUUCAAUUGACCUCAAAUCUCUUACACACAUUUACAACAAGCAUACCAAUAAGUCUCUAAAUUUUCACUUGUAAAAAUACUACAAAAGUCACAAAAUCCAAAAAUUUGUAAACCGGUUUUAUUUCUCAAAGAUCUAAAUUCAAAGAGAACAUCACUUGCUUUGAAAAUCCCUCAAAAAUGCAAUACUCAUCCAAACGACACAAAAUCACCUCUCAAAAAUCCCUCCUCAAGUUUGUCCCCUACUUUGGCUCUCUGAUCUCCCAAAAAACCCUUGAAUCGCCGUUAGAGCACGGUUUUGUGCCUUGGGGUCUGAUUUCGACCCAGGUUCAUAACCAGUCCUCUUUGGGUAUCAACUUUCGUCUUCUUGAGGUAAUUUUCACUAAUUUGCACUCCUAACUCCUCCCUACAUAUGCCUUUAUCCUUUAUUUUUCUAAUCUAUCUUGUUUUGCCUUAUUUAUGGCCUUACAAAGUAAAUAGAAGCAUAAUUUGUAAAAAGGCAGCAUUAGCACCUUUAAUUUUUCUACCCUUUGACUAAUAUCUAUUUUUCCAAGAUAAUUUGCUACAAUAUUUUUGAAGUGAGAUCCUCAAAACAUGAUAUUUUCUUCACCCUUUCACUUGUUAGCCAUAUUACAUCACGACAACGGUCGGCCCCUGGAUAUCAAUCUAUCCUAUCCUAAGGAUUUUUUAGCCCAACCCUACUCUCAACUUAAUUCUAGUACCAACUAUAUUAAUAAUUUACCUCUUCUAACCUGAUUUCAUUAAUUUAUGGUCUUUCUAAGGUAGUAGAAGAGUUUCUACAACCUAGAAGGUAAAAUUAAUAAUUAAUCUCCAACCUACUAAUUAUUAAGAUAAGAAAAUAACCUAAGAGGCUUUUAUAAAAGCCAUGUUUAGAUACCUCAAAAUAUAAAUAAACUUGGAUAAUUAGAUAUUAAUUAGAAAUUCAAUUUUGAUUAUAAUUUUUCUAUAGUCAUAUUACAUCAUGACACUGCCAAACUUCUAUAUUGCCACAAACUGCCAUUGAUUGUCAUUGAAUUGCUAGAUUGUUAUUGAUUGCUACCAAUUGAUACACCUUGCUGCAUCUUGUCACAGUCCAUCAUAAACCUUAUUUUUUUUUAUACAAAAAAAAUAAAAAAUAAAAAAUAAAAAAUAAUUCUUAAUAUUUUUUAUUUUAACUUUUAAUUUUAUCAUUCUAUUUGGUUUUACAUUUUAAGUUGCAUUUUACUCAACCUUUUCUACUUAAACUUCUAUUUUUGAUUAUAGAUUUUUUUAUAAUGAGUGCUUCAACAUGCUCAACUACUUCUACUAUGUUUUGAACUAUUACCACUACAUCCUAACAUUUUCAAGCCCUUCUAUUUCCACUAUUGGCUACUAAUGAGAACAAUUAUCUAUUAUGGAAAAAAAUGGCAAAAAUAAAUUUAUUUGCAAAAUAAUUAUUGAAUGCAAUUUUUUUUGAAGAAUACCUUACUGUAAGUACUUCAAUUCUUAUUUCUAUUUCUUCAAAAGUACUUCUUUUCCUUCGUCGACAUCUUGUACUUGUAUUACAACAUCAAUAUUUAAAAAUAAAAGAUCCAAUAAAGCUUUGAAAGAAUCUUAAAUCUAGGUUUGAUCAUCAAAAGAUAAUUUUUUUUUUAUGUACAUGUCAUGAUUGGACACAUUUAUGUAUCUUAGAUUUUCUAAAUUUAAAUACUUUCAAUAGUAAAAUAUAUUGUAUUGUCUCAUAACUAUGAUUAUGUGGAUAAAGUAACUUUGAAGAAAAAAUGAUUGAGAAAACUCUCUCUACAUUUCUUCCCGCAUUUAUUGUGCUUGCACAACAAUAUAGGAAUAUGAAAUUUCACAAUUAUCCUGAUUUCAUGUCCUAUCUACUUCUUACAGAGAAACAAAAUGAGUUAUUCUUGUAUAAUGUAAAAGCUUGUUCAAUUAGAACCAUGGUUCCAAAAUCUCAUAUAUUUAAUAUUCCAAAUCCUAAAAAAUAAUUAUACAAAUAUGGAAAAAAUGCUCAUAAGCACCAAGUUAGUCAUAGUCUUGACUAUUUCUACCUAUAUAGAAAGAAUAAAUGUUUUACAAUUAAUUAUAAUAAAAAAUAACAAUCAAAGAUGCACUCUUACUAUAAAUAUGGAAUGAUUAUGAGUAUUUUUUUUUAAUAUUUGUAUAAUUAUGUAUAUUUAUAUAAUUACUCAAAAUAUCACAUGUAUGUGCCAAAUAUCCAAUAUACAAGUAUUGCAUGUAUAUGCCAAAUUUGUAUAUUAGAUAUUUAGCACAUACAUGUAAUAUUUGUAUUUAUAUAUUAGAUAUUUAUAUUUAUACAAUAUUUGUAUAAUUGCUCAAAAUACUCAUAAGUACCAAAUAAUACUAUAAAUAUAGAAUGAUUGGAUAUUUGACACAUACAUGCGAUACUUCAAAAUACUUUGUUAAAAUGUCCAAAGAAAAUAAGCAACUUUAAGUUGAGGCUUGUAAAAUUUAUACCAUGGAUGCGUCCAUAGAUUCAAUUGGUCUUGAUGAUUUAGAGGCUUAUAUGAAUAAUAAAACCUCUAAUGAUGAAUCACAUGAUGCAUUCAUUAAUUUUGCAACAAUACAUAUUAUCUUACAGCAUAAAUAAUUUUUUAUUAAAAAAUCUUCAACUUAGGAAACUAAAAAUUUUAUGACUAUGGCUAGAAAAAAUGUGUUUUGUUUCCAAGAGAGAAUAUUGAUGGUAAAAUUGCUCGCAGGUUCUAUCAUAAAAUAAAAAUAUGUAAUUUUUACACCUUCACUUUAGAGUAUGGUUAGCUAAUGAAAUGUGUAUGCUAAUGGUUAUCAUCUUUCAACCGCAAUUUUAGAUUUAUGGAAGGUUUGAUUUUUAAACAGAACCAUAAAGUUAUAAAAAAAGACUUUUUUAUAACAAAUGAUUUACAUCAAAUUAUAAUUUAGCUUCUUAUUAUAUUUAAUUUUGUAUCAUCUAUAACCAAGAGUCGUGUUUUUUUUUGGUAUGGACAAUAUGAACAUCUAAGAUCUACAUUAUUUUGGAAAAUAAUUCUAUGUAUAACUGGGCAUAAUUUAAUAUCUACAGAUGCAGAUUCUAUAGAAUUAUGUUGUACUUGUGUGCAAAGCAAGAUAAUUUCUUGACCUUCAAUUUGGAAACUCCCAGAAGGAUUAUAUCAUGGACAUAUACAUACAAGCCAAUAAUUACUUAUAUAAAUAAAUAGAAAUAAAUAGAAGUAAGUAAAAGUAAGUUAAUUCUAUAAUAUCUUCUAAAAAAGCUUUUUAGAAGCUUAUUAACGCUGCUUUGACUUUAUAGGUGUCUAUUGUUGACUUUUAGGUUAGAAACUUAGUCAAUAAAUCAAUCAUGUGCCACACAUGUUUGAAGCUUGAAGAACAAGCUAAUUAUGUGGCGAACAUAUAGAAAACCUUGUCUUGUAAGUCAAGGCAUAUGUCCUAUAAAGUCAACAUAUAUUGAAGGUCCUAUAAUACAUUGAUACAUAGCUUCUAGUUAGAUAGUAUAUAUAGAGACAAGAAUGAAGCCCUCUUUACUCUUAUCAACUCUUUUCUUGCUUCUAGUCUAGUUUUAAGAGUUUCAAGUUUUCUGGUCUUUUAAUAAUAAGCAAUUCCAAUUUUUUUUAAUAUAUGUACUUCUUUAUUUCUAUUUUUUUACUUUUUCUUUGAUAUGGAUUUUGUUGAUUUAUGCAUCAUCUUCCAAUUCAUAUCCUUGACAAAUUGACAAGAGUAUAUUUACAAUAACAAAGCUUUGUCUUUUCUUGAUUAAGAAUGGAUUAUCUCUUUCUCUUGAUAAGACAUAAGCAUACUAGAAGUUGUGGAUUAUCCUCUUAUAUGGCAAAGCUUGUUAAAAUGAAGAAUGCAAUGGCACAAAUACAAGAGCAAUUGAGGGACUUGAUGCUUGCGAUGCAACAACUUAGCUUACUACCACAAGGAUCAAUAAAAAUAGCACGAAGUGAAGAUAUUGAGAUGAUUAGAGUUGCCUUAACAUCUACACCAAAUCAUGUAUCUUCACCUAUGAUAGAACAUCCUUCAAAUAUUAAAGAACCAAGAGUUACUCUGUCCAAGAAGUUUGAUGGUAUAAGAUCCAAUUUUCAAGGAUUUAUCAAUCAAGUACAUUUUGUGAUUGAACUUCAAGCUCAAAACUAUCCAAUUCUAAGAUCACAAAUUAAAUUCAUUAAUAUACUUCUUUUAGGUUUAGUACUAUCAUAGUUUUUAUCUUUUUUUGAAUGAAGAGAUCUAAUAUUGGAUAAUCUAGAGGCAUUUUUGGUAGAAUUUUGGUCGAAGUAUAUAGAACAUGAUACAACUUGUGUUGUAAUCAAGAAGAUCUAUAUAUUUUGCAAUAAACUAAUCAAUUUAUAAUAUUAUAUGCUUAACAAUUUUUAUAACUUGUAAUUGAUAUCAAGUGGAAUGAUGCUGCACUUAUUAACCAAUUUUUCUAUGGAUUAUAAUAUGAAGUAAAGAAAUUGAUACUCAACUUAUUUGAUUCUAAAACAUUGAAUCAAGGAAUUGAUUUUGUUGUCAUAUGCAAUAAUUGACUUUUUGAAUUUUUAUCUAAUAACUACAUAAGUGGGCCUCAAUAAUAUUACGAUUCAAUGGCAAUACCAACAUCUCCUCAAUACAUAUAUUUAAAAGUAGAAGAUAUGCAAAUUGAUGCAGUUCAUUUUAAACCUCUUAUCAAGCAAGAAAAGACUUAUCGCCAUUAAAAAGGAUUAUACUUAUAUUUAGGAGAACCUAAACACAUUACUUAAUAUUAUCUAAAGAAGCAACGAAACCACAAAAUGAGGAGCUUAGUUGUCAAAGAAGAUAAUAUGUUGAAAAACAAAUUUAUCCAGCUAUAAUAGGAAUCGUGCAGCUAGAAUCUUAUAUAAUUUCUAACAAAGGUCUUAUCUUCUCUUCAAAACCCUCUCUUUAUUUUAUAAUAGAUGUACUUUUAGAAUCUAAUAAUUAUAAAGCCUCUACCUUAAUAGAUUUAGGAGCCUCAGUUUGUUUCUUAGAUGUAAAAUUUGUUAAACGUCAUAAAAUACUGUUAAUAUAAAAAAUUAAACCUGUUCAUAUAGAAAUCAUAGAUGGUUGUUUGUUAGCUUCUUGAGAUAUUAUUCAUAAAAUACUUCCUAUAGAUGUAGCAAUAAAUGGUCAUGGUAGUCAUGUAAUCUUUAAGAUUAUUAGAUUUCCUUCUAAUUCAAUCAUUUUAGGUUUAUUGUGGUUAAAAAAAUAUAAUCCUUGCAUAGAUUGGAUUUCUUGUACUUUUGAUUUUUCCAAAAGUAUAACUAAGAGUAAAAUUAAUCUAGUAGAAAUUCAUAAGUCUAGAAUAAUAAAACUUAUAUUUGUAGGUGCAAGAGCUUUCUUAUAUGCUGCAAAAGAAAAAUCACCUUGUGUCAUUUAUGCCUUAUUUAUUCCUAAUGAUGCAAAGACUUUAAGUGGCAUUCUAAGCCAAUAUCAAGAGUUUCAAGAUGUAUUUGAAAAGUAGAAUGUGGACAUUCUUCCAGAACAUUGUCUCUAUAAUUACUCAAUUGACCUUCAAGAAGGAGCACAACUGCCAUUUGGGCCAAUCUGUAGUUUAUCACAAAAUGAAUUAGCUGAAUUCAAGGAAUAUAUUGAAGAAAAUUUAGUCAAAAAUUUCAUAUGCCAUUCCAAAUCACUAGUAGGAGCUCCAAUCUUAUUUGUAAAGAAGAAAGAUGGAUCAUUGUGGAUGUGUAUUGAUUAUCAAGGACUCAAUAAGAUCACCAUCAAGAAUUGAUAUCAUCUACUUUUGAUAUCUAAACUUCUUGAUAAAUUAAAUCAAGCUAAAAUUUAUACAAAAAUAGAUUUAGAGAGAGCAUACAAUCUAAUACAUAUUAAAGAAGGAGAUAAAUGAAAGACUAUAUUUUGAAUUAGGUAUAGAUAUUUUGAAUAUAAUGUCAUGUCUAAUGGACUUAUAAAUACACCAGAAGCUUUUCAACAUCUAAUGAAUGAUAUUUUUUGAGAUUUUUUAGAUGAUAUUAUUGUUUGUUAUAUGAAAAAUAUCUUGAUUUAUUCUAACAACAUAAAUAAACAUGAAUUUCAUGUUCAUCAUGUAUUACAAAAAUUAAAAGAUGCAGGGCUUUGUGCCAAGAUAAAAAAGUAUAUAUUCUACACUACUCAAGUCGACUUCUUAGGAUAUAUCAUUUCAAAUGAUAGACUUGUGAAAAAAAUUUAAAUUAUUAUGAAUUGAAAGAUUUCAAAAAUAUUAAGAGAUGUCCAAUAAUUUUUGAACUUUGUCAACUAUUAUUGUAUCUUCAUCAAAGACUUCUCUUGAAUUAUAAUCCCACUUAUAUGUUUGAUUUACAAAGACAAAUUCGAGUAGAGCAAAAAAUUAAAGUAUCUUUUAAAGCUUUAAAGUUAGCCUUUAUUUUUACACCAAUCUUAUAUUGCGUCAACUUUUCUAAGAUAUUUUUAUAAAAACAAACAGAUUAAGAUUUGCUUUGAGUGUUGUAUUAUCACAAACAAGAAUAGAUGAUAAACUUCACCUAGUAGAUUUUUAUUUUAAAAAAGUUUUAGCAGCCGCUGUUAACUAUGAAAUCUACGACAAAGAGCUUCUUGUAAUCAUGGAUUCUUUUUAAGAAUGGCAUCAUCAUCAAGAAGGCACUUCUAAUCUAGUCACCAUUUUCGUAUUGUAAUUUGGCUACCAUGUGAAAAUAAUGUGUUUAUAUAUUUAAUACAUAAUAUAUUAGAUAAUAUGGUAAAAGCCAUGUUAAUAGAUUUUUAUUGAUUGUAGAAUAUGGAUAAAUUACAACUUCAAGAAAAGAUAGUUUAAAAGGAUUUCUAUUAGAAUUAAUAUAACUUUAUUUUCUUUUGAUAGUGACUUUGAAGUUGUUCUUAUUAAUAGUAAUUUUUAAAUAUUUAGAGUGACCUUUGUUAGAUAUUGGUGACCCUCAAAGUCUUAUUCUAUUUCUUUUAUAUGAUGUAAAAUAUGACAUAUAUUCAGUAAAUCUUGUAAAGAAAAGAAUUGGAGAGAGAUUUUGGUAAUAAAAAGAGAGUUUAGGACAUCUAUAUAGAUGAAUGGAGAUGGAUGAUGAAAAUUUCUAUUUCUAUUGGUCAAAAAUCAUGACCAAUAGGCUUUGAGAAGGAUGCCCGAGGCUAUAUGUCACGGAUACAGAAAUACAAGCUCAAAAUCUAAUAAGAGGUUCAAGAAGAGCUGGCAAAAACUAGAUUAAUCAAAUGAGUUCAAGAACAACACCAAAGAGGUGAGCUAGAGCUCCAAGAGAUGUGUUGUCGAGACUGAAGAACUCUUCAACCUCGAUUCCAAUAUAUACUCCUAUUUAGGAAGCUUUUCAAGCAACUUCUACCAAUUAGGAAGCUUCUCAAAUAACUUCCACCAACUAGGAAGAUUUUCAAGCAACUUCCACCAACUAAGAAGCUUUUCAAGCAACUUCUACUAACUAGGAAGCUUCUCAAGCAACUUCUAUUAACUAAGAAGCUUCUAGAAGGUUCCAGAGAUUUAUUUCUAAAAGAUUCUAGAAACUUGUCUCUAGAAGGUUCUAAGGACUAUGUUUCUAACACCAUAAUAGAGAUUAGGAUUAGUUUUUCGGAGGCAUUUGGGCUUUAAAGGCUAGGAUCAGCAAGUUUAGGAUUUUGGCUAUGGUUUUGGUGCAAAUUUUGUUUCAUUUGGAGUUUAUAUGAAAGAAAUAUGGGCGAUCAAAGUUAAGUAUUGAUUUUGUACCUACUGUCAUUCUUUUGGAUAUAACGCACACGUAUAGAAAGCAAUAGAAGAUCGGCAAUUUGGAUUGAAGAGAGCACUUUUUCGGCUACACUUUUGGCAUAUUGUUUAAUGGAUUUCAAGUUUGAAUGAAGGAGAUAUUAGAGGUUGAAGUCAGCACUUGCAAAUCUAAGGGUAGUAAGUGAUCCGAAUUUCUAGUGGUUGUGUUUUGAGUUAUAUCUUGUGCAAUUUGACAAGAUUUUGGCUAAGAAUUUCCAAGAAGGUGUAUUUUCAUGUAAUCAAACUUUAUAUAUAAGUUUUGUGAUAUUUGGAUCUUAGAUUUGAGAGAUAUAAAGAAAAUAGUACUUAGGUACUUGUGAAUUUGGGUUUUAGAGCACCUAGUAGGAUUUUUAAGAUGCCAAACUAUCGAUAGUGAAUUUAUAGUUGAAUUUUUGUAAGAUAAAUCUUAAGGGUGAAUUCUAUAAUAUUUGUGAAUUUGGAAAAAUUUGAAUAGUUGGAUCAAGAGAUAUGAAGUUUUAAAGUUUAAGAAGAAGAAAUCUUUUGUAGAAAUAUUAUAUUUUGAAGGGAUUUUAUUAUAACUUAAGCAUUUUAUACAAAAUAAAGGAGUGUUUUGGGAGCCAAGACAUUAUAUAUAUAUUGAAGAUGGAUAUAUAGAACUAUGGUUCAAUUUUUUUAUAAAGAUGAGCUUUUGAGAGGAGAUUGUGGAUUUCCUUUGAAAUUAUUGAAAACCUAAUCUACCAACAAAUGGUUAGCUAUGAUUUGGUAUAGCCAAGAAUGUUAGAAUUUUUUUAGAUAUUUUAGAAGGCCUUAUGUACAAACCUUCUUAAAUAUAAAAAGAUUUAUUAAUAUAAUAACUUUUUGAUAUUAUAGUAUUUAUUUGUCUUCUGCUUUUAAGGUUAAAUAACUUAUUAGAGCUUAGCUAAUAAGUUAAAACUAAACUCUCUAUAGCUAAGUAUCCAAUGUAUUUUCAAAUAGAAAACCAUGAAAUACAACACUAUAUAUACAAAUCAUAAUAAUCUUAAAUAUUUUAUAUCAACACGUAUUUUGAAUUGUUGCCAAGCACGUUGGAGCAUGUCUCUAUUAAGAUUUGAUUUUAAGAUCAUAUAUCAAUGCGAAAAAUAAUAAGGUUUAUGAAACGCCCUUUGGAGACAUUCUUAUCUUACAUCAAAAGAAAGAAAUGAGUCUUUUAAUCAACAAAGAAUUAUUUUCUUGAAACUAAAGUAUUUUCAUCUUUGAGUACUGAAAUCAAUAUUUGUUGUUGAUUCAAACCUUGUGAAACAAAUCCAAUCAAGUAUGUCUUCUAAUCUUCCUCUUUACAAUAUCAAGAAUCCUUCUUUUAAGUCUCAAGAUACUUCUAAGUUUGAAUUCAAAAAUAACCUACUCUAUUUUGAAGGAUGAUUAUAUGUUUUAAAAAGAGAAGUAAGAUUUUUACGGAUUCUUCUCAAGAUUCUAAAAGUAUAUAUAAAAUUAUCUUUGAUAUUCUAUCCUCAAAUAGAUCAAAAAAUGAAGCAUGUUAAUCAAGUUUUAAAGUAGUAUUUAAGAUGUACCAUCAACUACCAACAAGAUAAUUGGACAAUUCUUUUGUCAUUGGUAAAAUUUGCUCAUAAUAACACAAUAUAUUCUUCUAUAAAACAAACACUUUUCUUUGCCAAUUAUGGUUAUCAUCUAUGACUUGAUACUUUUGACUUCUCAAAAGCUAAUAAUCUGGUGAUAGAAGAUUUGGCAAAUUUCUUGUUAGAGCUACAUGCAAUAAUGAAGGUACAAUUAAAAGAAAGUCAAGAGCAACAAAAGAUUAAUAUGGAUGUUUAUAAAAAAGAAUAUCCAUCAUUUCACAUGGGUAACAAAGUAUAGUUACUUCAUUGCAAUAUCAAGACUACUUAUCUUUUGUGACAAGUUCGACUAUCAUAGGCUUGAACCAUUUUCUAUUUCUGUACAAAUCAAUCCAGUUGCAUAUUGCUUACACCUACCAGAAUCAAUGAAAAUCCAUCUAGUAUUCUAUGUACCUUUUCUUGAACCAUACAAGAUAGUAGACAUACCAAAAAGAAGAUAAGCUCCACCUCCUCUUAUAGAAGUGGACAAUAAUGAUGAAUUUUAAGUAAAAGAAGUUCUAGUUUCAAGGCGACACUAAAAUAAAUUGAAAUAUCUUGUCCAUUGGCACAGAUAUGAUAUUAGUGAAUGCACAUGGAAGCCAAUAAAGAAUCUUGCAAAUGCAACAAAGGCAAUGGAGGCUAUUCAUUGACGACAUCCAUCAAAAUCAAGAUGAAGACCUUUUCUAUUAAAAAAAUAAGAUUUAAAGAAGAUAACAUUCUACUUUCAAUCUUUAUUUAUAACUUCUUUGUAUUUGUAAUGCUAAAGAGAUAGAAAACCAAUAACUAGCAAAUUUGACAAAAGAGCCUUUAUUUGUUGACUUGCCAAAUAAGACAUUGCAAUUGUCACAACCUUCAAGACAAUACAAUCAAGAUGAUGAUUCCUAAGAUUAAUAUGUUUUUCCUUGAAUAGAUGGCAAGAUACAAUACAUUUGAUAUCACAACGAUGGAAGAGACUCCUGACAUUUAAAAUUUUUAUUAGAGGUAGAAACAACUCUUGACAGAGUUCCAAAUGUUUUAUUUGAAGGAAGUUAUGAAGGCCUCAACAAUGAUCAAAUAAUAGGGUGGUCUUCUUGCCAUAGUAUGAAACACUAUUGAUGGUUGAGAGGUUGUAUCAAUCAUCUUCAAAGAGAAUAAAUAUCUGAAUAUGUGGCAAAUAUAAUUUGUUACAUCAUAGAUUUUUUUAACAUAUGAUGACUGCUCCUUGUAAAACUCAUUUCUAGAAAGAAGGGUAAUAUUAUGGACAUACACAUGUAAGCCAGUAAUUACCUAUAUAAAUAGGUAGAAGUAGAUAGAAGUAAGUAAAAGUAAGUUAAUUCUAUAAUAUCUUUUAAAAAAAAAUUUAGAAGCUUUAUUAAUGCUGCUUUGACUUUAUAGGUGUCUAUUGUUGAUUUUUAGAUUAGAAACUUAGUAAAAAAAUUAACCAUGUGUCACACAUAUUGGUAGCUUAAAAAAGAAGCUAAUUAUGUAGUAAACAUAUAGAAAAACUUACCUUGUAAGUCAAGGCAUGUAUCCUACAAAGUCAAGACAUAUUGGAGGUCCUAUAGUAUAUCGCCACGUAGCCUCUAGUUAGAUAGUAUAUAUAUAGAGACAAGAAUGAAGCCCUCUUCACUCUUGUCAACUCUUUUCUUGCUUCUAGUCUAGUUUCAAGAGUCUUAAAUUUUCUUGUCUUUUGGCAAUAAGCAAUUCUAGUUUUUUUUUUUUAAUAUACAUAUUUCUUUGUUUCUAUUUUGUUAUAUUUUCUUUGAUACAAAUUUCAUUGAUUCAUGCAUUAUCUUCUAAUUCAUGUCCUUGACAAAUUACCACCAAUGCUUAAUAUUUAUGUCCCAUUAAUCCAAUAUCUAGACCAUUUCAUUAUUUUUUAGUCCUUGUUGAUACAUCAAGCAAACAAUCAUAUAUUUUAUUAUUAUCUUCUUAAAAUAUGAUAUUUACUAAUUUUAUAUUUGUGCUUAUUUUUUUUCAAGUAUAUUUUCCUAAUUAUCCUAUUAAAACAUUGCAUAUGAAUAAUACAAAAGAAUUUGCAUCAAAGUCCUCUGAAGACUAUUGUACUACAAUAGUCAUUAAGUUGAAAUAUUGUAUUCCAUAUGAACAUGUUUAAAAUGGACUUGCAAAGUUAUUUAUAAAGAAUAAACAACUCAUUACCUAGACACUCUUUUUUCAUGUAAAUUUACUUGCAUCUAUGUGGAAUCAUACAAAUUUGUAUGUUGCAGCAUUAAUACACCUCCAUCCUUCUUCUCUUGAAAUUAUUACACUAGAAGAACUCAUUUCUAGUAGUGUUUCUAAUGUAUCUCACCUACAUAUGUUUGAUUGCCAUACUUGGAUUCUAGUACAAGAACCUCAGUGGCGUACCAUUGGACUUCAUUGACAAGAAGGCAUAUAUGUUGGUUUUGAUUUACCAAGCAUUAUUCAUAUAAUUGACCCAUCAAUUGACACAUUAUUACAUGCACAUUUUUAAAAUUAUUUUUUUGAAGAAAACAUAUUUUUAUUUCUUCAAAAAAGAAUAUUUAAUCAACAAAGAAAUACAAUACUUACAUUUUGAGUACCAAAAAUAUUUACAAUGAAUCUUGAUCCUAGAACAUCUUUGGCUGAAAGUGAAGUUGCUAAGAUUUUGUAUCUAAAACAAAUUGCAAAAAAAUGCCUAAUGGCUUCAAUGAUGUGCCUCAAAUUGUAAGAAUUUUAAUUAAUGAGGCUCAAAAUGAAUCUACUUAGAUUAUAAUACCACUAACAAAUAUACCUCAUGUUACAACAUCAGAAAUUAAAAGGACUCGUGGAUCAGAUAAGCAACCACAAAAGAAGAAAGCUAUAACAUGUGGUGAUUUUAAUAUUGUUUUUGUAGAAGUUCCUACUAAAAUUAUGAGACCAUCAAUUAAUAAUAAUAUGUCCAUGCACAUUAUACCUUCACCUCAUGCAAUAGAAAAUCUCAAAAUUAAGAGGCAAAAAAUGAAGUUGAAUACAAAAUUAUCUAUUCUAUAUUGUACUACAAAUGAUCUUUGAAAUAGACCAUCUAAUAUAAUAGAUAAAUCAUUUGCAUUCAUGAUGGUAAAAGCUCUUUCUUACAAGAAAGAGAAUCUUGAACUUCAAAUCAUUCAAGAAGCAAUGCAUUGCUCUAACUAAUUAAAAUAAAAAACUACCAUCAAGGAGGAGUAUGCUUCUUUGUAUAAGAAGAAAGUCUUUGGUCUAAUUGUAGACACUCUUACUUCUUGUCUUGUGGGAUAUAAGAUAGUAUUAGUAUGCAAGCGAGAUGCUAAGGGUUAAAUAAUCUACUAUAAAGCUCAUCUUGUUGCUCAAGGAUUUAUCCAACAGUUUGAUAUUGAUUAUAAAUCGACAUAUUUUCUAGUCAUAAAUUCAAUUAUAUUCUGAUAUAUUACUAGAAUAGUAGUUCAUGCCACCUUUGAGAUAUGUCUAAUGGAUGUGGUAAGUGCAUAUUUGUAUGGUUCAUUUGAUACAAAUACUUAUAUGAAAGUUCCACUUAGCUUAAAAACAAGAAUUUCAAAUGUACCUGCUCAAAGACAAUAUUAAAUUAUACAAGGUCCUAUAUGCUCUAAAAUAAUCCAGACGCAUGUGGUACCAACAUCUUUGAGAUUAUUUAAUUAUAAAUAAAUUUACAAGUGAUCUGCUAAUCCUUUGUUUAUUUAUCAAAUGAGAUGAAAUUAGUUUUGUGAUUAUUGUUGUAUAUAUGGAUGAUUCUAAUCUAGUGGAUAUUAGAUCUAUAUAUGUUGUAGCUAUUAGCCUAUUUAUAUGUGAAUUUGAGAUGAAAAUGGUAGGAAAAACAACUCUCUACAUUAGUCUUUAGAUUAUGCAUCUCAUGGAUGGUAGCAUUUUUUUCUACUAAUUAACUUAUAUUAGACAAAUCUUAUAAAGAUUUAAUAUGAUUGAUGCUUAUCUAUUAUCUAUACCAAUAGUUGGACAUAGUGAUGAUUUUCAUGAUCCAUAUCGUCCAUGUGAGAAGGAAGAAAAAAUAUUAGGAGAACAAUAUCCAUAUCUUGCAAUGAUUGAAGCACUUUUAUAUUUAGCCACAUCUAUAAGACUAGAUAUUACAUUUGCAGUUAGUAUUCUUGCAAAACAUAGUAUAUAUCCAAUAUUACGACAUUAGAAUGGUAUCAAAAAUUUAUUAUAUUAUUUAAAAGAUACAAAAGAUUUGAGAUUAUAUUACACACAAUCUAUAGAUCCAAAAUUAGUUGGAUAUUCUGAUACAGGAUAUAAAUCUGAUAUUAUAACAACUAAAUUUCAAAAAAGCUAUGUAUUCUUAAGAUAUGGAGUUGUAAUAUCAUGGAAAUUAGUGAAACAAACUAUAACUACAACUUCAUUCAACCAUGCAAAAAUUAUUACCUUAUAUGAAGCAUCUUAAGAAUAUAUUUGAUUGCAAUUAAUCAAUAAACUCAUUCAAACAACUUAUGGACUUUCAUAUGAUGAUUCUCCAACUAUCUUAUAUGAAGAUAAUAGCGCUUGUAUUGCACAAAUGAAAAUUGGUUUCAUUAAAGGAAAUAGGACAAAGCAUAUUGAUUUAAAGUAUUUUAGUUAUAUCCACGUUUUGAUUAUUGAUCAAAUACUUAAGAUCAAAAAAAUUGAAUCUACAAAUAACCUUGCUGAUCUCCUUACCAAAGUUCAAUUGAAUGCGUCACUUUAUUAUAAUUUAUAUUAAAACUACCAAAACAAAGUGAUGGAUCAAUUGAAUAAUGUAGUUACACUUGAACUCAUGAUAGCUUCAGAACAGCGACUCUGUCACGGCGGGUGAAGCUCAUCCCAUGUCCCAAACAUGGCCUCUUUUUCACGAUCAACUGCUUCACUCUGAAGAUAUCCGCCUUUGAAUAAAGAAAACCUGCUGAAAUGAUAACUCGGAUACGAAAUCUGUUGUUCUAAUUUGAGUAUCUGAAAUGAAGUAUUUUGAAUCUUCAGAUAUUUUUCUAAGUUUUCGUCGGUGUGAGUCUAUGCCGCAGCUUCCCUUUCAGUUUGCGCACAAGAAGGAUGCUGUUGACCUUAUUAUAGCAAGUUAACAAGGACCGUUGGAGGUUACUCCACGCACAAACCCAUUUCGGGUCAUAAUAAGAAGAAUGUAAUCAUAAAAAUACACCUCAACAAGUGUUCUGCGCACAAGUGUUUUUCCUUCAAGCCUUGCAAUUUCCAGUUCCAUGUCAAUUUUAUUAAAAUAAAUGCCUUGACCGAAUCUGAAUAAUUUUAAAUAUAUAAACAUUGAUUUGCAUUCUGAAAGCUAUGCGUGAAGUGCAAGUGAAAGCAGCUGGAUGUUGCUGCAACGAUCCCCAGGAUAUAUCUAUAAACUGUGUUGCAAAUACUUUUCAAUUUGUUGCGCAAAAUGUUCAGACCUCCUAGUGGACAGGAAGGAAUUGCCUUUGCUCUUUCGGUAGCUCGACGAAGAUAUUCAAGUGUUCGGUGUCAGGCAGCACUCCAGAUGGCGUACUCUUCGCCCAGCGAAGGUGCCAUAUGGAGCAAGCCUGAGAGCAACCGGGCAAUGGCUCUGAUUGAUACCAGUGAGUUGCAGUAGACGAGACCGGAACUCAUGCGCAUGAUCCUCGAUGCAACCACCGCCUUCCACUGGAGUUGCAUCAGUCUGACUGAUCUUGAACACGUGAAUGAAUGCUCCUCAUCCUCCUCAACGUUGGCCUGAUUAUGGUUUGCGAAGGGAGGAAGAGCUUGGUGAUGAGAUGACAACGUAAUCAAGCGGGCCGCCACGGUUUUUUACACUAAACUUUGGUCCUGGUGAGCAAGGCUUCUGCACCUGAUGAUCAGAAGCCCAAUCAGCUGUUCGGGGCAGUUGUGAUUCUUCGACGUUUUGAUGGUUUGUCAAUGUUUGCAGGAAAAAUAGCAACAAUAAAACACCAUAUCUUUGAGGUGAAAACUGGGGUCAACAAAACUUUUUCUACAGGAGUGUGAAAUCUUCAACAUGGUCGUGAUUAACAUUCCUUCAACUGCACCACCUAAAGCCAAUUAAUAAAAGAUGGAAUUGUUUCCUCUUUUAUGAAUGAUUAAGGCCAGUACCCUUUGAUGUCUACUAUAUUAGGACAUGGAGAUAUAAAUGUUUUUAAUGUUAUUGAGAAUCUGAAAUUGAUAAUUUGUAAAUUGAUGCAUAUCGCCAAAGGAAACUCUUUGAGCAGUUCCAGUAAAUAUGUAUAAUAUUUGAUAUAUAUUUUAAUGAAUCAUAAUAGAUAUUCACAUAUUAAAUUUACAUUUGGAGCAAUAUCAUUCAAUACAAUAAUAGAUACUUCAAAAAAAAAACAAAAAAAAAACAAAAAAAAAAAAAAAAAAAAAAUUCAUAAGUCUUAUAUGUCAAUUGUGUCUAUCAUUGAAUUUGUAGCUAUCAUUGGUGCUUUCAAAUUUUAGAUUUUUGUGUCUGAUUCAAUAUAUAGCCACAAACUCUUAAGUCUCAUAUGUCAAGUUGAUAAAUCUAAAAUUAAUCAAAAGUGUACAAAGUUGUUAUACCUAUAUUUGAAUAACAUAUAGGUAUAUUUUUAUAAAGACUUGUAUAGUGCCAUCUUGAAAAAUAAACAAAUGUUCACAAAAAAGAACACGUCUUAAUGGAAAAUCUAUCAUGGGAAUGCCAUCAAGGCAAUUCAAAAGAAGACAUAAAGGAAGAUUAAGGUGUAUAUUGUAAUAUAAGAGAUGGCAUUAGUAGAUCUUUAAUAAAAAAUCUAGAAAAAAAUUACAAAAUAAAGAUAACUUAAUUUUUCAUUUAAUAAUAUCUUAUUUUGAAUACUUACUUAAAAGAAGUUAUUUUAAAAGAACCAAAACCUUAGAAUACUAAGGAAAAUUAUUCAUCUAUUUUAUUAUAUUCACUAUGUAUAAAAAAUAAUGGCAUUUAAAUUAAUAAUCUUAAUAACAACCACCUUUUAUUGCUUUAUUUUUACACUAAUAUUAUUUAUACUAUUUACAAACAAUCAUAAACAUGAUAAAGUAUAAAAGAAAUAUUAUUAAGAGCACUUGCAUAUUUUAAAACUUAUUUUACAUAUACAAUAUCAUUGUUAUUAUUUUUUAUUAUUUUUUUAAUAAAAAAACUAUACAAAUUUUAUGUACAAAAUUUUGCAAAAACUAAUUAAUUUAUUUUAUUAAGGCUCUAUUAAAUUUUUUAGUUUUUUCUAAAUCUAUUUGAUAAAAUUUAUUAUUAUUAAAAAAAAGAUUAUAAUUCAAAUUCUUCAAUUCAUCUAUAUUAUAUGGUAUAGCUAAAAAUAUAUUAUGAUUAAAAUUUAUAAUGUUAAUAAUUAAUAUUUAUUUUUACAAAAAAUUAAUCAUAUUUUCUAUAAUAAUCUCAAACUUACUUUUAUAAUGUAGAAUUAUUUAUGUAAAAAAAAUCAAAACAUUGUCUAGAAGUGAAGAAACAUGUAUAACAGAAAAGAAAAAAAUCACCCAAAAAAGAAUCUAAUUUAAUUUAUUUUAAAAAAAUUAAGUAACUAAUGAUAUACAUAUUUCAACAAAUAUUAUAAAAAAGUAUUGUUUAGUCUAUUCAGACUUGCUAUAUUAUUAAUUUUUGUAACAAAAGAAGGCCCUCAUUACUAGUAUAUAAAUGUUAGCACCAUCAUUAUAUCAAUGUGAGACUAAAAGAAAAAAUCUUUUAAUACUAAGAUUCUAAAAUCUUUGUCCAAAUCCUACUUAACAACCUCUUCAUAAUAAAAGUUGGAAUCUUUUAAUUUUAUUAUUAUUCUAGAACAAUCAAAUAAAAGAGAGUUUUUUCAUAUUAUUUAUUUAUUUAUUUUUACUAUUAUACUAAAUGAGUUUUAAAUCUUAAUCUGAUAUUUGGUUAUUUAUUUUUAUAUAGGUCAAGGGUGCCACUGUACAGUUCGUCGUUCACUGAUUGGAAAGAACUUGUGGACCUGCAAACUUCUGCCCAGCCUGCUGCUCGCCCGUUGCACAUGGGCACCGCGUGGGCAAAACUAACACAAAUACAAAUAAUGUGAAAUCAUAAUCCAUAGUCAGCAUCUGGGGAGACUGGUUACGUUACUUUCAGGCAGGUGUCGGGUUCAUCUCCGGCCACUUGCACGAUAGGUGACUCAUAUAAUGUGUCUGUUUAAACCCCUACUCUCACCCCUUGACCUCUUCGCCUUAGCCCUCGUCAAUACCCCCCAUUCGUGUUGUUUUUUCUCAAAAAAUCAAAAAGAUAAUCCACGGAAUAUGAUACAUCUGAUUUAUGUCCUACAAACGAUGUCUUCAGAGUCUUAUCAGCAGAUGCAGUUACCAGGUAGUUGCCUCUCCGGCACCAAGCCAAAGACGUCACUGGUCGUGAAUGCCCUGCGAAGGAUAUUGUGUGUGUUCCAUGUCCCUGACUUGGGAACACCAGCGAAAAUACUUGUUUCUGCAUCAUCCGAGGCAGUGGCAAUGAGGUUAGUAACUGCUUCCAAAGUUCUCCGUAAAUGUCCCACACAAUUGUUGAGUAAUCUUUUGAUGUUGUGGUCAGGCGGUUACCAGUUGGACUCCAAGCUGUGCAUGUAACCUCCUUUGUGUGACCCCCCAGCGUGCAUAGUUUCUUACCCGUUUUCCCAUCCCAAAUCAAGGUGGUACAAUCCGCGGACGUGGUUGCCAGGUAGCCUAGGCUACUCCAAGCGACGCAUGUUACAUCGUCAGAAUGACUUCUUAAAGUUUGUACGACAGAACCCGUUCGUGCAUUCCAGAUUUUUGCGGACUUGUCUGAAGAUGCACUUGCUAUCCAUCUUCCACUGACAUCGUAUCCCACGCAAUUCACCGGUCCUGAGUGCCCCUUCAAUGUCAUCUUGACUCUUCCUGACAGGUUUUGCUUACGGCUUUCGUAAAACUGUUUGACUUUCUCGGUUUUCCAAUCACUUUGCCAACGCAAGCUCGGAAGACAACCCGAAGGUUUUUCAUGAGAAGGACGGUAUUUAAUCUCCCAGAUAAUAACAGUCUUGUCUUUAGAAGCAGUCACUAUCUCAUAAUCACCAGGACUCCAGUGGACAGAGGUGAUUGUUUUUGAAUGACCACGAAACCAUCUUCUCUUCAGAGUGAGCUUGAGCAGGGAUCCGAUUUCUGAAUAUACUGCCUCCGUGUCACUCCCCUCUGCCUCAACGGAAACCGACGCAUCCGUGUCUUCCACCUCUGAUUUGGACAAAUCCAAUUCAUCAUUUUCAGCUGUGUGUGCACAGGGGUGAGUUGAUCCAUCAGUUCCAUCAGCCUCGUCAUCACCUUCACCUGUAUCUGGUAACCUAACUUCAUCUUGUGCCCACCAAUUGGGGAUUUCCAACGUGUCUUUCUUAAUCAUGCUGUCACCAACUCGACUUAAGCUCUACAAACAAGCCAACCCUAUGCUUGAACCAGUUGCAUGUAAUCUUAAAGUAGAGAAGAAGAAGUUACGUACGACAACAAUCUAAGCAUGCAACUCCCUCGAAGUUAUUACCAAAGUCGUAUUUAUUCCAACCAUGUGAGUCUUGAAAUGUCAAGAUUCUUACCUGGUCUCCAUUCGAAGGAGAUGGAUCGGGCAUAUCAUGCGAAUGUUGAAUGUCAAUAUUCUUCAGUAUUUCUUUCACCUCAUCAUGUGCAAGAGCGCACUCCUCAUCAUUUUCGUUCCAUUUUAACACAUGCUGUAAGGCAACAACAGCAUCUGCCAGUUGAUUACUUCUAGCCAAGGAUAAAGCCUUGCAUCGAUACUCCUGUCGACGUUGCCGAUAUUUUUCGGUUUGCUCGGGAAACAUAUCAAACAGCCCCCUCCUCAGAUUCACGUUGUCUACCAUAAUCGUCAAGUCUUUGCUCGGAUCGUGAGGAUCUCUAAUCAUGUUGUUAUCGAUAAUGGUCCACCGACAGUAAGUAUGGCCGUUGGUUGCCACGACCGGAUCAAUCAUCAGCGUGUGCAAAAUAGGAUCCAUGAAGUCAUCGGAAUAUUUUGUGAUAGCCUCCUCGAGACUAGUAAUGGCGGCCAAUAUAUCUUCCCAGAAGCUUCAUUCUUAGCUUUCGAAGCAGUAUCACAAUCCAUGCGACCAAUCAGCGUGGUCAAUACCAACUUGACUUCUUCCAUCGAAUGCAGUGGUGUUACGUCUGACGAAGAACCAUGAGAUUGUGUUUCCGGGGGAUUGCACACCACCACUGACAUAAUUGGCAUGUUCACGUUGUUUUGCACAGAAGUCAAAAAAUUUCGGACCAACGUUUCCAACUUACCCUUCCUGUCAGUCGAUUUGAGGACACGGAAGAAAUUUCUAUCUGCAGCCCACUUCUUUAGCUGCUUUGUGGCUUCUUCGAGGUCCGACUCCAGUUUAUUGAGCACAGUAACAGCAACACCAGUACUCUUGCGAUCCUUCAAAGCUUGUUGAAUACUGGGCACAUGCUCGCUGUAUUCUGCAAUGAAGUCCUGCAGUACUUUCACCUCCUGUUUGUUUUCCUGGUGUUGAUCAUACAUGUUCUUCAAGGCCAUCAUCGCCGUCACCAGUUCUGAUACCGAUACAGGGGAGGCCAUGCCGUGGGCUGGUGAAUUGAAAUGGGAUUCUAAUCAGCAAGGUUCGACAGCAACCUGGAAGUGUGAGGCAGUCUUCGAAGAAUAAGUUUGCACUCAUCGCAACGAAGCAAAAAGUGAACACCAUAAUCAGAAAAGUUGCGAAACAACUGUCGAUUAGAGAUAGAUAUUAACCAGCGUUGCACUGACGAUAGAGUUUGAGCACUCAUGUCUCAAGAGCAAUGCAGUAUACGAAAAUUGUAAUCACGCCGACAGUCUGGAAUAUUUACUUCUUUUAAGCAUGGGGAGUGAGGACACCCGAAAAACCUUUAGUUCUAUCUCACCAGCUUGUGAUGAGGGGAGGCUAAUGUUCAAACAAUAAUUAAAAAAUUGAGUAAAAUUAAAUAAGAGACAUUUUGAAGAAAACUGAUGGUAAAAAUUCAGAAAUUUAAGCACACAAGCAUUACACACCUGACGAAACAGUGGUCAACUUGGCGUCCACCAAAGAUUUAGGCCCUGGGCACUUCCAAGCUUCUCGAGCACAAGGUCGGAUGUGAAGCCCCAGAUGAACUACUUCUGACAAGAUCUCCCACCCUUAAUACUGUGGAUCAACUACGAUGCAAACACUCAGCUAACAUCGGGGCUAUGCACUAAAACAGUUUCGAUGCACCACAACGCUUGCCACUCCCUGAGUCCGAAUGAUGGUGUCGGUCCGUAGCCAAGUCCUGGGGUGCUAGCAAGUUCGUCUCUUGUGAAGACAACCGACAGAUAAAUAUCGCAAAAUCCAUAGCCUCGUCAUUGAUUGUAUAAUCUAACAUACGCGUCUCUGAUUGCCCUUCCUCAGGAAUUCCCGUCGAGAUUUCUUUUUCCAGGAUCCUGGAGUAUCGCGUGACUGAUCGUCACGACCCCAUUGCUACGUAUUAACACACACCACGUGUUUAGAAUUCUUCGUGAACACUCGAAAGCAUUUGAGCUUAAAACGGCAAUCUACAGAUACCUAGCAUCACCGCAGAGGGUGCUUCAGAAUCUGCUACACUAAAAACCGACUAUUUCGAUUGCCAAGAUGUCGCAAUGUUUUAUUGUUUGUCGUUUUCACCGACUGCGAUAGCAUCUCACGUUUUCAUUUCUUUUCAGAAUAUGAGCUUAUGCAAGUUCAUAUAAGAUCCCUCUACGACUAGUGUGGGGCAUCCAUAAUGAACGGUGCACGAUGGUUCUUCGGGCUCCACCAAACUCUAGCAGCUUCGUCUCCAACAUCUAGAAAACAAGGAAUCUAGAACCCAGCAUGGGACAACACAGCCUUGUGUAUGAUUCCUCGCGGGGAUGUUCCUCCGACCUUCGCAAACCUUGAAUACACGCACAUCUCCGCAACAUGGUUGACUGAACUAUUCCAGAGCAUGAAUUGAGUGGAGACUGUCCGUGCAGGAUUCGUAGGUGAAAAGUCAAGGAAUUCUGGCACAUUCCAGCUGUGGAGACCACAGCCGAAGCUGAGGGCCUGAAAUGAUCUGUCUGUCAACUGACUGCAAGACCAUGUUUGUCGAUUCUCUGUGUCACGAGCAUGCAGGUUUGUGUGCUUCGAGGAAAUUCAGAUCCUCGAUUGUUGCCCAGCCGAUUCCCAUUUGCAGCAUGCGGAAAUGCUUUCCUUUGCAAGUUGCCAUGGACUUCAGAAGCAGGUUCUAAGCUGCGGGUGAUUUUUUUACGUUUUGAGUAAGCCAUUCGUGACAUUUAUUGUAGGAAGAAGUGAUAAACUUUAGGUGAGAGAGAAGCAACGAGUGAUAUAUAAAUGGCGCAUUCGAGCCUUUCGAGAAGUCUAAAUUUCAGUGUCAUGUAACUGGAGACUAGAUUUUAAAAUGUGAGAUAUCUCUAAACAAAAAAUUCAGUCUUUUUCCAACAUUAAAUAAAUUUUAUAUAUAUAUAUAUAUAUAGAGAGAGAGAGAGAGAGAGAGAGAGAGAGAGGGGAAUGUUAGACCCAAGUUUUUAUUAAAUCAAUUUAGCCAUGAUGAAGAAUAUGGGAUUCAUGAUGAAUGUGGCUUGUUUUUAUUGGUUUUAGAUCCAAUAGUAGAGAAAUGAGUCUAGAUGUCAUUUUGUUUUUUCCAAUGGUUAUGAUGGGUGGAUCGAUUUAGCAAAAUAUUGGAUCUAUUUAACUUUCUUCUAUAUAUAAAUAUAAAUAUUAAUAUAUUAUUUUCUUAAUUUUUUUUUAAUCUCAUUUCAAAAAUUAGAUUAAAUUACAUUUACAAAAACAAAUCAAAGAUGAUAAUUUUCAUAUUUUUUUAGAAUUUGAAGGUAUAAUUGGUGUCUAUUAUUUUGGCACCAUUGAUCCAAGUGAUACUGAUCUUAAAGUAUGUUGGAUUUUAAGGAUUUUUUUUUAAAAAAUUAAAAAGUCCAUACCAAAAACCAUUAAGCCUCUUGAACAGAAUAGAAUGAGGCUUGUGAUGUAUUAUAUGAAAAAUUUUAAGAUUUUAUGUUUUAAACUAAUCUAAAAUCAGUUAUUGUAUAUUAUUUUAAAUUAUUUUUUAAUUUUAACAGUAGCAAUAAAGUAUUAAUAAGUAUGGUUUUGCUAAUUUAUAUAAGAAAAAAAAAAAUUAUUUAUUUUUACAAUCACAUAAAAUAAAUUAGGGCUACAAAUAUCUUAGAGAUGAUUUUAAAUCUUUUUCAAAACUAAUAAAUAUUUAUAUCAAUCAUAUUUUGUAGGUUAUUUUUUAAAAUUAAAUAUUUUUUAGAUUGAAGUAAAAUAUUCUAAAACUUAUUUAUAGAUGCAAUCUUCAUUUCGUACAAACUAAUUGUUUAGUGGAUAUGAGAUAAUACUUAUUAUUGAAUAAGUUAUUAUUAUUUAAUGUUAAAAGAUAAACAAAGGAUAUUGGCAUAGAAGCUAUUCUAUUCAAAUAUGUUGAUAGAACACUUUAUUUUUAUAGUAUAGAUAUAUUUUUACAAUGGAUAUUAUAACUUGUUAAACCUAAAUAAAAUUUAUAUACAAUAGUUUGAGGUGUUAUUAGAAGUCAUUUUUUCUUCUAAUUUAUGGAUUAAAAAAAUCAUAAUGUUAGUUAUUGGUGGCUAUUAUAGCAUAAAACAUGUACAAAUUUUGUUGUGCAUGAAACUUUUAAUAAAAAACAUAUAAAAUGAUACAUAUACGAAUUAUUUACUUAGUUUUACUUAAAAAAUCAUUUAUUGAAUAGAGAGGCAAAAUUAUUAUAUCCAUCAAAUCUACAAUAUGAUAUAUUAGAAUUUUUUAUAUUUUAGUCACUAUACUACCUAUUGUGUUGAUGCUACGGCCUUAAAAACUAACAUUGUUAUAGUAAUUAUCUAAUUCUUUUAUAAGCACAUCUUUACUAUUUUUUUCUUUUAAUAAAUAAUUAAAUUAUUUAAUUUAUAAAUGGGAGUUUAAAUUACUUAAUAAACAAGCACUAAAUUGAUUAGAAUAGAUGAUAUCAACAAUUUUGUUUUCUUAUUGUAUAGCCUAUAAGGUUAAUAUGAGUCACACAUCAUUUUAAUGGAUUUAUAAAUACUAAAUAGUUAAAAAAUAAUUAAUAAAACUAAAGGCUAUCAAAUAUAAAUAUAUAUAUAUAUAUAUAUAUAUUGAAUAUACUUUAAGACUUCAUUAAUAUAUAUUUUUAUAUUUUAGUUACUAUGCUACCUAUAGAAUGUGCUUUAAAACUUCAUUUUUAAAUAAUUAAUGAUUUCUAUUAUAUCCACUAGAUUUGUGUUUCUUAUCAAAACAUUAUUAUUAGAGAUAAUAUUGAUAUUAAUAUAUAUAUAUAUAUAUAUAUAUAUAUAUGUUAUUUUAUAUAUAUACAUAUAUAUAUAUAUUUUUAUAUUUUAGUCACUAUGCUAUCUAUUGUGUUGAUAUAUGUUUUGUUAUAAGUGUAUUGAGUAUGCAUAAAUGGAGCUAUGAUUAUGCAUGUAUGUAAGUAUGUUGGUCAUAUUAGGAACCAUAUAUGAGACAAGGAUUCAAGACCAAGGAAUAAAGUUAACUCGACAUUAAAACAAAAACUAGAUACAAGGCAAGAAGGUCCUAGCUAGACCACAAGAAGUAAGUUGUUGAGAUUGAGGAUCCUCUUAGCCUCGACUCCUAUAUGUACUAGGUCCUAGGAAGCUUCUUGAGAAUUUUCUAUUAGGCUUGAAAACAAAGUAAGCCUAAGAUCCUUCUUCAGCAACUUUUUAAAUCACCUAAAGCCUCCUAGAACCUUCUAGAACCUCCUAUGACCUUCUAGAACCUUCUUAAAAUCUAUUAGAACCUUUCAAAAUCUUCUAGAACCUCCUAGAAUCUUCAAGAGUCUUCUUAGAACCUACAAGUACCUUUUAGAACUUUCUAAAAUCUUCUAGAAUCUUCUUCAAUUAUAUGUCUAUGACAUCAUCUCCUCUUCUAGCUACAAGGUCUCCAAGAAGCAAUGUUGUAGCAAGCUAAUAUAUGUACAAGAAGUUGAAGAUCUAUCGCAUGGUAUCUACUAUAUAUUCCAAUUGUUUUUUUUGAGGUAAAUGAUUUAUAGGUCCUUGUAGCCAUUGAUAGUGGCCCCAGCCUUUUACUUGUAAUCAAGCAUGAACUUUGAUAUCUUUAUUAUAAAACUAUCUUGUAAACACUCCUUCUAUACAUCCUUCAUAGGCAAGUUUUUUCUCAAACACAAUUACCAAUGACCUAUUAUUAGGUAUCCUUCGAUGUCUUUGUGGUUCACACAACUCUUCAUCUCAAGGUCAUCUUUGCGAGCUACUUGGUUGAGAUGGUAUGACCAACGAGGCGUCUAUCUCUUAACUAUCCAUAUCAUAUAAAGUAGACAAGACCAAAAGAAUAUAAAUAAGCUAUGGUCGUGAACUCAAACUAUUGUCAAGGACAUAUACUAUCAAGGACAUAUAUUAAGAAGUUGUAGAAGAUUUUAGAAGGUUUUAGAAAAGCUUUGUAGUUUGUGGAAGUUGCUUGAGAAUCUUUUUAGCUUGUGGAAGCUACUUGAGAAGCUUCAUAGAUUGUGGAAGCUACUCAAGAAGCUUCCUAACUCGUACAAGCUGCUUGAGAAGCUUCUUAGUUUAUGGAAGCUAUUUGACAAGCUUCAAAGCUUGUAGUAUAUAUAAGAGCUAAGACUAAGGAGAUCCUCAGUCACAACAACACACCUCUUGGAGCUCUAGCUCACUUCUUUAAUGUUGUUCUUGUACUCAUCUAAUUAAUUUAGUUCUUUCCAAUUCUUCUCGAACUUCUUGUUUCUAAUCAGUAUUCUAGAUUCGUGACAGUUUGUCGGGAUUGCAAUCAUCUUUCAUAUCAGAGCUAGUUCCUUCUUGUUAGAGUAUAGAUUACUCCUUUCCUUGAAGGUGCUGGCAUUUUAGAGGUUGCGGAUUACCUUCCUCUAAACUGAUAUUUCUUCUAUUAUAAUAUUCGAGUCUUAUCUUUCUUAGAGAGUAGAUUAUCCCUCUUUUUGAAGAUUUAAGGCGUUUUAGAGGUUGCGAAGUAUCCUCCUCUAAACUAAUAUAGCCUUCUUAUAGAGUCAUUUCUUUUCUUCUCCGAGAAUGGUCGAAGGUCAAGAUAUUAGUAUGACUGAAAGUUUGGAGUCCAAGUUGGACGCCAUUAUGAAUGCUCUUGCUAUAUUAUCAUAGAAAACUGUAGAGAUUGAAGAAAUCAUUACAAGACUUCAUCAUGAUAAAGCAUGCGGGAUGGCACAAUCAAGGAUUCAUCAGCCUUAAACUUUAGUACCAAGAGAACCAACUUUGCCUCUAAUGCAACAAGGACUGUUGCUCUUACAACAAAAAGAGCUCUAAAUCAGUCUUCCAAAUAAAUUUGAUGAUACGCAUUCUAAGUUUUGAGGUUUCGUCAAUGAAAUUAGAUUGAUAACAACUUUAUAAUCCAAACGCUAUUCGACGGAGGAGUCACAUGUUAGACUAGUUGGAACUUUGCUCACAAGACAAGCUCUAUCAUAGUUUGCUCAUUUGUUUGAAAAAAGAUCGUCAAUUUUGAACAACUUUGAAACUUUUUUGGAGGUGUUUGCAGAAGCAUUUGGCAAACAUGGCAAGGCGCAAUGGGCUACAACAAAGAUCCAAUCACUACAACAAGGAACAUGCUUUGCGUCACUCUAUGCAUCAGAUUUCAAACAAUUAACAUCAACUAGGACGAAGAAGCAUUGAUGAGUCAAUUUUAUUGAGACUUGAGAGACGACGUGAAGGAUUUGUUAUUAUGUCUUUCUGAUCCGCAAUUACUUAACGAAGCCAUUAGCCAAGCUUUGAAGUGCGAUAAUUGCCUAUUCUAAAGUUGCCAAGACUAAUGCUCAAGACAACAUAUGGCUCAUUACAUUCCAACUAUGUCACCAAUCAGUCUGAAUUCACAUUCAGAGGUGUAAGACAUGUAAAUUGACAUGGUACGUAUAAAAUUUCUAACUUUAGAAAAAAAAAAGUGGCGUAUGGAAGAAGGAUUAUACUUGUAUUGUGGUGAAGGAAGCUACACAGCUGAAAAUUGUCCCAAGAAGCAAAAUCGACGCAUUGUGAAGACUAGAGGCGCAUUUGUUCAAGAAAACGAGGAUGCCCAAUCACAAUAGGGACUGUGCGGCUGGACAAUUCAAUACCACAAUAAUAAUCAAGUUCCUCUCUUUCUGCUCAGCCUGCCCAUUGCUUUAUCAUUCCUCUAUCUUUUGGCCCUCACAAAUUAAAAAUCUUAGAUUUAUUAGAUUCAAGAGCAUCUACUUGCUUUUUAGACGAAGAAUUUGCUAAACAUCAUGAGAUUCUUCUAAUACGAAAACCUAAAUCCAUUUAAGUAGAAGUAAUAGAUGGAUGAUUUUUAUUGUCUAGUAGUCUCACUCAUGAAUCAGAACCUACAGAGGUGACGUUUAAAGACCAUAGUAGUUAUAUUAUUUUUAAUAUUAUUAGAGCCUCAUCAAAUCUUAUUAUUCUUGGUCUUUUUUGGUUAGAAAUACAUAAUCCAUCCAUAAAUUGAAGGUUACGAAAGAUGAAAUUUCCUAUAGAACAUUCCAAGAGUAAGUCUGUUAGAAGAUCUCGAAUCAAAAAACCCUUAUUCAUUGGAGCAAGAGCAUUUGUAACAUUAUCCAAGGAAGAUACACCGUUUGUCAUUUAUGCGACUCCAACUAGCGAAGAAAAGAUUUCAAUAGCAAGUAUAUCAGAGCAAUAUAAGGAUUUUGAAGACGUGUUUCAAAAGAAGAAUGCCGACAUACUACUGGAGCAUUGACCAUAUGAUUGUGCUAUAGACUUGCAAGAAGGAACAAAACCACCUUUUGGCCCAAUCUAUAAUUUUUCGCACAUGGAGUUAGAGGAGUUGCAAAAAUACAUUGACGAGAAUCUAGCCAAGAACUUCACUUGUCAUUCAAAGUCGCCAGUUAGGCCACCAAUCUUAUUUGUGAAGAAGAAAGAUGACUCACUGCAGAUGUGCGUGGAUUAUCGAGGUCUCAAUAAGGUGACAAAGAAAAAUCAUUAUCUAUUACCCUUGAUAUCAGGUCUUCUAGAGCAACUUGGGCAUGCAAGGAUCUUUACAAAGAUUGAUCUAAGGGGAGCUUAUAACGUCCUGCAAAUCAAAGAAUGAGAUGAAUAGAAGACAGCUUUCCGAACAAGGUAUGGCUAUUUUGAAUAUAAUGUCAUGCCUUUCGGUCUUAUCAAUGCUUAGAUGGUCUUUCAAUACAUGAUGAAUGACAUCUUUUGAGAGCACCUUGACAAUUUUGUUGUCAUCUAUUUAGAUGAUAUUCUGAUAUUUUCCAAGAAUAUAGAAGAGCAUGAGAAACACAAUCAUUUGGUCCUUGUAAAACUUCGCAAGCGAGGACUUUACGCCAAAUUGGAGAAGUGCUUGUUUAACCAAACUGAGAUAGAAUUUUUGGGAUUCAUUGCAACUAUAGAAGAUUUGAAGAUGGAUCCUAAGAAGGUGGAAGCAAUUGUAUCAUGGGAAGUUCCAAAGAAGAUUAGAGAUGUACAAUGUUUUCUUGGCUUUGCUAACAUCUAUCAAAUCUUCAUCAAGAAUUAUUCUCAAGUUGCUGCUCCGCUCACUUGGGUGACAUGUAAAGACAAGCUCAAAUAGGGACCUCUAGCGGAAAAAUCAUUUCAAGAUCUUAAGACGGCAUUUAUUAUGGCUCCAAUCUUGGUACAUCCGGACUUUGCAAAGGCCUUCUAUUUGAAGACUGAUGCUUCAGAUUUUGCUAUGGGAGUUGUACUUUUGCAGAUACGUGCAAACGAGAAACUUCAUCUAGUUGCAUUCUACUCUCAAAAGUUUUCUGCUGUCGAGAUCAACUAUGAAAUCCAUGAUAAAGAAACUUCUUGCAAUAGUGGAUUUUUUCCAAGACUGGCGUCACUUUCUUGAAGGAGAUGCGCAUUUGGUGACCGUUGUCAUGAUGUAACAUGGCUAAUAAGUAAAAGGGUGAAGAAAAUAUCAUGUUUUGAGGAUCUCACUUCAAAAACAUUGUAGCAAAUUAUCUUGGAAAAAUAGAUAUUAGUCAAAGGGUAGAAAAAUUAAAGGUGCUAAUGCUGCCUUUUUACAAAUUAUGCUUCUAUUUACUUUGUAAGGCCAUAAAUAAGGCAAAACAAGAUAGAUUAGAAAAAUAAAGGAUAUAGGCAUAUGUAGGGAGGAGUUAGGAGUGCAAAUUAAUAAAAAUUACCUCAAGAAGACGAAAGUUGAUAUCCAAAGAGGACCAGUUAUGAACAUGGGUUGAAAUCAGACUCCGAGGCACAUAACGGCACUUUGACGGUGACUCAAGGGUUCUUUGGAAGAUCAAAGAGCCGAAUUAGGGAAAAGACUUGUGGAGGGAUUUUUGAGAGAUAAUUUCGUGUCAUUUGGAUGAGUAUUGCAUUUUUGAGGGAUUUUCAAAGCAAGUGAUAUUCUUUGUGAAUUUAGAUCUUUGAGAAAUAAAACCGGUUUACAAAUUUUUGGAUUUUGUGACUUUUGUAGCAAUUUUACAAGUGAAAAUUUAGAGACUUAUUGGUAUGCUUGUUGUAAAUGUGUAUAAGAGAUUUGAGGUCAAUCGAAUGGCUAGAUCGAUACAUAUGAAGGUUUUUGUGGGCUAAGGUCUCGAGAUUUAGGGUUUUGAAGACUAGUAAUGUUUUCUUAGAUAUCUAAGAAUUUACUAGUUGGAUUGGAGAGAUUUUUGGUUUUAUCAGUAGAAGACUUGAUUUUCUAUAUGCAAGUAAAAUUUGAAAGCAAUCAAACAAUGAAGAAACGAGAUAUCAGCACUGGAAGUUGGCAUCAAGAUUAGAGAAGGAGAAGCCAGCCGAUAUCUAAGCGGAAUUUUGAGGUCAUCGACUAAUUGGUAAGUGCGAUUUUCUUCAGAAUUUGUAUGCUAGUUUCUAACUUAAACUCUAAGAAGUGUGCAAAUUUUUAAUUAAAAUCAAUGGUUCAAUCUUUAGUUAUUUAAUUUCCAAAUCUGUCAUUAGGGUUUGAUUAGGAUUUGGUUUCGGAUUUAGGAUUUGAUUAGGACUUAGGAUUUAGGAUUUGAUUAGGGUUUAGGUUUUAUAUUUUUUUAGGGUUAGGAUUUGGUUAGGGUUUGACUAAGAUUUAUUUAGGAUUUGACUAGGGUUUGUUUAGGAUUUGGAAUUGAUUAGGAUUUAUUAGGAUUAAGAUUUGUCUAAGAUUUGACUAGGGUAUGUUUAGGAUUUAGGGUUUUUUUAGGGUUUGAUUAAGAUUGGAUUAAGAUUAGGGUUUGAUUAGAAUUUAAGGUUUUAUUAAAAAAAAAAUUUGAAUUUGACUAAGUUUUCUUUAAUAUUCUUUUAUAUUUCUUUAAGAUUUCCUUGUAUUUCUUUUAUAACUUCAAUAAAAUUUAAUUGAGCUUGUUUAAUGUUUGAUUAUGAUUGUUAACGUUUAAUUGUCAUUUCUCUAUAAUCCUAUUAGAUUUUUAGGACCUUUUGUUGCAAUUUUCUUUUAUCUUUCACAACUAGGUACCCGGUGCAUUCUCAAGCAAGGCUUCAUGUAAUACGACACCGUAUACACGGAUCAUAAGAAUUUAGAAUACUUCAUGUCCAUUCGGAUUCUAAAUCGUUGUCAAGUUCGAUAGAAUAUGUUGCUAUCUAGGUUUGACUUUGUUAUUACUUAUCAACCUGAGAAGCAAUAAGGACUAUCUGAAGUAUUAUCAAGGAGAUCGUAUCUAGCGCCAAAAGCUAGAGAAGCAGCAUUUGAUCAAUAGUGUACAAUAUUGUUGAAGUCAAAACAAUUCAGGCUUUGCUCUGCUAUAGUCGCAAUUGAUGCUGACUUCUUCAACCAGGUACGUGCUACAAUUAUUGGAGAUUCUAUAGCCCUCGGUAUCACGCAAUGUGUCAAUAAUGACAAGUUCAAGGUGGAAGGAGAUCUUUUAUACUUUGAAGAGUGGUUGUACAUUCCAAAGGGACCAGCAUGAUUCCAAGUUCUCUAAUCUCAACAUGACUUUCUAACUGUAGGACAUUUUGGAUUCAAUAAGACCUUGGAACUUAUCUCUCGAGAUUUUUGGUGGCCCCAAAUGUAGAAGGAUGUCAAGGAUUUUGUCCUUUCUUGUGAUAUUUAUUCAAGAUCUAACAACCCUCAGCAUCAUCCUUAUGGUCUUCUUCAGCCAUUGCCUAUUUCAUAUUGGCCAUGGUCUUCAAUUUUGAUGGACUUCAUUAUGGACCUAUCGCCAUCAAAUUCAUUUGACAGCAUCUUUGUUGUGAUAGUUUGGCUUACAAAGAUGGCACACUUUAUCCCUUACAAGAAAACAUCAUCAAGCAAAGACACAGCAAGACUCUUCCUUGAUAGUGUGUAUCGAUAUCAUAGUUUACCAGAUGAUAUUGUGUUGGAUCGAGCAACCCAAUUCGUAUCAAAAUUCUGGAGAUUCCUUUUCGAGAUAUUAAAGGUAGAUAUCAAACUUUCUUCGGCUUUCCAUCCUCAAACUGACGACCAAACAAAAUGGUGUUGUAUUGUAAUAUGACUAUAUGGUGAAAGAUGAGAAUAUGGAUCUUAUUAUAGAAGAGCCAAGUCAAAAGAAAAAAUAGAGAAAUAUGGAUAAAAGAUAGGAAGGUAGUAAAACUUUUAGUAGUAAUGCUGCCUUUAUAGAAAGAUGACUUCUACUUACUUUAUAGGGCCAUAAAUAGGGUAAAACAAGGUAGAUUAGAAAAAUAAAUAAUAUAAACAUCUUUAGAAAGAAGUUAAGAAUAAAUUCUAAUAAAAAUUACUUAGAAAAACUAAAUGUUGAUACCCGAAGAGGGCCGGUUAUGAACUAGGGUCGAAAUCAGACCCUGAGGCACAAAACUGAGUCUCGACAACGACUCUAGGAUUCUUUGGCAGAUUGGAGAAUAGGAUUUGAUAGCAGAUUGAAUAGAGUUUCUAUAGGUGUUGGUUUUGGAUGAUUUGGAUCUAUAUUGACUUUGUAUGAACUUUGAAAAUUCAAGGUUUGUUUUGGAUAACUUGGAUUUUAUGAAAUAAAAUAGAAUUUACUUUUUGGGUGAUUUCAAGAGUUUUGUAAUAGAUCUAUAGAUGAAAUUUUGUGGGUUCAUAGUUAUAGUUGUAUUUAAUAUGUAUUAUAAAUUUAAGCUUGAUUUAACAAUUGAAUUGAGGAAUAUUGAGGUUUGAGUGGGUCAAGGUCUCAGAAAGUAGAAUUUUAGGUCUAAUGAGGGUUUUUAAGAUUUCUUGCAAUCUACUAGUUGGAUUGGAGUGAAACUUAUAUAAGAGGAUAUUAGACUUGUUUUUCUAUAUGUAUAAGAAUUUUGAGAUCAAUCGAAUAAUGAAAAAGAGAGAUAUUGGCUUUGGAAGAUUAGCAUUAAGGUUGGAGAAGGGGGCCGACUAAUAUCCAAGCAUGUUUUUGAGGUUAUCGUCUAUUUGGUAAUUUCGAUCCUUUUCAGAUUUUUUGUGCUUGUUUAUAAAAUUAGUUUUUAAGAAGUAUGUAAAAUUUGAAUUAAGAUCAAUGGUUUAUUCAUUAGUUAUUGAGAUUUAAAUUUGUUGUAGGAAUUACUAGAGUUUGGUUAGAAAUUGGUUUAGGAUUAGGGUUUGAUUUAGGGUUUAGGAUUUGGUUAGGAUUUGGUUUAGGAUUUGAUUGGAUUUUGAUUUAAGAUUUGUUUAGAAUUUGAUUUAAGCUUUAGAGUUUGAUUUAGGAUUUAGAAUUUUAUUAGGGUAUAAGAUUUAAUUAAUUUUUGCCUAAAAUUUGAAUGAAAUUCAAUAAGAUUUUGACUAGAAUUAAAUUAAGAUUGAAUUGAGAUGUAUUUGAGUGAUAUUUGUAAUCAUUCUAAUAUUUCUUUAAGAAUUUUUAUUGUUUGUUUGAAAUUUCUUUGAGAUUUUUUUAAAUUUAAUUAAGCUUGCUUAGCAUUAUUAUGGUCUAAUUAGAGCAUUAUUAAUAUUUUAUUAGAAUUAGGAUUUUGUUAUUACAAUUUCCAUUCUUCUUACCACAGCUAAGUGCCCAGAGCAUUCUCAAGCAAGAGUUCACGUAUUACGACAAUGGGUGAAUCAAACUUUGGAGCAGUAUUUACGAUGUAGCAUCAACUACCAACAAGAUGAUUGAACUAUAUAUCUAUUGUUAGCCGAAUUUGUAUAUAACAACACCUUUCAUGUGUCGACUCAACAAACACCAUUCUUUUCCAACUACGGGUAUCAUCUGAAGCUUGAUUUGUUGAGUCCGUCAACUAAUAACAACACAAUAGCUGAAGGAUUUGUGAAACAAAUAUCGGAGCUUCAAACUACGUUGAAACUUUAAUUACAAACCACCCAAAAAGCUUACAAGGCAUCUGCAAAUAAAUUUUAAAAUCAUGCACCUACUUUCAAAAUUAAAGAUAAAGUAUGGCUACUUCAACGGAAUAUUAAAACCAAGCGGCCAUAAAAUAAGUUGGACUACCAAAGAUUGGGACCAUUUGUCAUCUAGAAGCAAAUUAAUCCAGUGGCAUACCGUUUAGGGUUACCAGCUACUAUGAAGGUACACCCAAUCUUUCAUGUUUCUUUGUUGAAGCCGUAUGGAGAGUUGUCUUUUCAUGGAAGAGUGCAAUAUCCACCACCUAGUAUUGAAAUUGAGAACCACAAAGAAUACAAGGUGGAAAAGGUAGUAGAUUCACAAUGUAAGUGGGAGAAAUUGGAGUAUCUAGUAUAUUGAAGGGGCUACGAUAUCAAUGAACACACAUGGGAACUUGUAAAAAAUCUUAUCAAUGCAUCACAAAAGGUACAAGAGUUUCAUCGACAAUAUCCUCAGAAACCUAAGUCCUUUCAAUGAAAUUUUUUUAGUGAAGUUCUUUCUCCUUGAAGUCUCUUAAUCCUUGGCCUUACAAGGAAGGGAGGAGAAAGAACCUCUAAAAGACAUAGUUAGAGACUAAAAAAUCUAUAACUUGAGCCCAUUCUUCCAUAUUUAGUGCUUGUAUUUUUCGGUGUGAUAUGGAUAGCCAAGAGAUAGAUAUCAUACCAGUUAUGUCUUCUCAACUAAGUAUCUCACGAAGACAACCCUGAGAUGAAGAACCGUGUGUACCACAAAGACGACCCUCAGAUGAAGAACUGUGUGUACCACAAAGACGACACAGGAUACCUAGUAACAGGUUGUUAGUGAUUGUGUUUGAGGUAGAACCUCCCUAUGGUAAUCUUCCCAAAAGAGUGUUUGCAGAGCAUUUCCACAAUGAAAAUAUAGAAGUUCAUGCUUGGUCAAAAAUUGAAGACAUAGGACACUAUCAUUGGUUACAUGGGCCAAUGAACUACUUGCUGCACAAACAACAAUUGGAGUAUAUUGUAGAUACUAUGUGAAAAAAAUUCAACUUUUUACAUUGGUAUUGACUCGCAAUAGGAGUACUUCUCGAAGACCUUGAAGCUAAAAGAGGGAGUGAUGUCAAGGAUAUAUACUAUCAAAGAUAUAUACUAGGAAGUUGUAGAAGAUUUUAGAAGGUUCUAGAGAAGCUUUGUAGUUUGUGGAAGCUAUUUAAGAAGCUUCUUAGCUUGUGGAAGCUGUUUGAGAAGCUUCCUAGUUUGUAGUAUAUAUAGGAGCUGAGACUGAGGGGAUCUUCAGUCUCGACAAUACACCUCUUGGAGCUCUAGCUUACCUCUCUAGUGUUGUUCUUGUAUUCAUCUGAUUAAUCUAGUUUUUGUUAAUUCUUCUUAUACUUCUUGUUUCCAAUCAGUAUUCUAGAUUCGUGACAACUAUUGACUUAUACUAUUCUAAAUAUUUGACAAUAAUUACCUCUUUAGGACUUGCCUCCUCUCUUUCUUUAUGAGGCCAAAAACUAAGAAUCUUCAUGGUGAAGCCAUCUUACCAAGCUAUUAUUCUUUAUUUUGUCGCUUUUGGUCUAAAUGGAUGUUGUUGAUGGAACCUUUGAAUCUUCAUUUAUACAUUUAUAAGGUUGCCAACUAGUUUCCAUGUGCAAUUAUUGAUAUCAUAUCUAUGCCAAUGGAUCAAAUAUUCAAGCCUUAUAUGUCUUAUCCUUAAAUCUAAUACCUCUUCAACCUCAAAUUGAACAUGAUUAUUGAUUUCAAUCAUAGGAGGUGAUGGUUGUCUUUGACGUAAUAUGUUUGAUUCUUUAUACCUUUCCAAAAGAAAAACAUAAGACUGAAUGAAUCUUCAUGGAUGAAGAUAACUCCAAGUAUUAAGUUACGUAAUUAAUUUGUUUUUAAAUCACAAAUGGUCCCAGCCUUUUGUAGUCUAAUUUAUCAUAUAGCUUAUUGGUUUUUAUAUUAUACCAAAGAAGCCAUACUUUGUCACCAACUUGGAAUGGAGGAUGUUCCUUCUUUAAUUCAUUCACUAGUAGCUUAUAAUGUUGUUGAAUUUUUUUUAUGUGAGUCUUCAUGGUUGCUUGAAGUUUGGCCAUCUUUAUAACAAACUCCUCUACUAUUCAAUUUGUCGACUUUGAAGGCUCUAUCAUAUCCAAUUUUUGAUGAUGACAGUAGUUUGAGUAGAAUAGUAUUUGCUACUUAGAUCCAUAGAUUGUGUUAUUAUAUAAAAACUCUGCCAACGACAAGUAAGAAGUCCAAUUGUCUUCUUGAUAGUUGAUGGUAUACCUCAAAUAUUGCUCAAGGAUUUGGUUGAUUCACUCUGUUUGGCCAUCAAUUUAAAGGUGGAAGGCAGAAAAAAGAUUGAUAUCAAUCUUAAGAAUCUUGAAAAGUGCCUUCCAAAAUCUUGAUACAAAUUGUAGACUAUGAUCUGAUGCAAUAUCGUCUAAUAAUCCGUAGUAAUGAUAGACAUUGUCAAUAAAGAGUCUUGUUGUCUCUUCACCAGUAAUUGACCUCUUGCCUGGUAUAAAAUGUGCCAACUUAAUUAAUCGAUCAACAACUAUGAAGAUAGUGUCAAAUAAGUUUAGUAGUGGGAGAUUUGUAAUAAAAUCCAUAGAGAUAGAUGACCAUGGUUGUCUUGAAAUAAAAAGAAAUAGAAAAACUUUAUAUAACAAUGUCAAGAGUUCUUUGAUCUUGAAUAAAUAUCACAUAAUAGUAAAAAAAAUUUAAUGUCUUUCUAUAUUUUAGGCCACCAAAAGUCUCUAGAUAGAAGUUUCAAGGUCUAAUUGAAUCCAAAAUGUCCAACUACAGGGAAGUUAUGGCAUAUUUGAAAAACACGUAAGUGAGUUGGUCCUUAAAUAAUGAGCAAACGUUCUUUUAAGAACAAGAAGUUUUCUUCAUACUUGAAUUUAGAAGACUCUUGAAGAAGAUUGUUGGUAAGUCGCUUGAUAUUAAAAAUAAGAGGAUCCAUAUUUGAGGCUUUACAAAUUUGAUCAAGAAAUAAUAAAUCCACAGACAUUCAUAUAAUGAUUGUUUGAAGGUGAAAUUGCUCAAGUUUUAAUAAGCUUGUCUGUUGUUGAUCAUAUAUUACCUCGUCUUCUUUUAGUUGAAGGUAGGAAUAUCUUGAUAAUGUAUUUGAUAAUCUUUGUUGGUUCUCAAGUCCAUAUUUGAUGCAAAAGUCAAAUCGUAAUAAAGAUAUACUCCAACGUACUUGUCGAUGGUUCAAUACUCAAGAUGACAUAAAGUUUUCAAAAUUCUUAUUAUCUGUAUAUAUAGUCACCUAAUGAAAAGAGUCUUUAAGAAAGUGGUACCAUUCUUGGAAAGAAUCUACAAUAGCACAUAGUUCUUUAUUGUAGAUUUUAUAAUUAAUUUUUGCUACUAAGAAUUUUUUAGAAUAAAAUGCAAUUAGAUGAAGUUUGCCAUCUUUUCCAUAUUGUAACAAAAUUGCUUUCAAUGCAAAGUUUGAGGCAUCAAUCUCCAUAAAAUAGGAUUUGUUGAAAUCUAGAUGUAUCCAAAUUGUAGCUAUUGUGAAAGCAUCUUUUAAGCUUUGAAAAGAUUUUUUUGCUUCAAGGCCCCAAUCUAAUUUGUCCUUGCAUAUCAACCGUAUAAGUAGAGCAUCAAUCUUAAAGUAAUUCUUAACAAAAAUCUUAUAAAAGUUUGCAAAUCUAAGAAAGCAUUGGACAUCACAUAUAGUUUUUGGCUUUGCCCAAUUGAUGAUUUCUUGUACCUUCUUUGGAUCCAUAAAAAGGCCUUUGUUGGAAAUAAUAUAUCCAACAAAUUUGACUUGAGAUGCAUGAAAUACAUACUUCUCCUAUUUUGCAUAUAGCUCAGCACUUCAUAGCUUUUCCAUCACACGGCAGACAUGUUUUUUGUGGUCUUCUGGAUUCUUGAAAAAGAUCACAAUAUCAUCUAAAUAGAUUACAAUAAAGUCAUCGAGAUAUUUGUAAAAUAUGUCGUUUAUUAAAUGUUGGAAUAUGGUUGGACCAUUGGUAAGUCCAGAAGGCAUGACAUUAUAUUCAAAAUGUCUAUACCUAGUGCAAAAUGAUGUCUCCCAUUCAUCUCCCUCUUUAAUACAUACCAAAUUAUACGCACCUUGUAGAUCAAUCUUUGUAAAGAUCUUUCUUGAUCAAGAAGUCCAAAUAUCAAUAGCAAUGGAUAUCAAUUCUUUACUAUGAUUUUAUUAAGACCAUAAUAAUUAAUACAUAUAUAUAAGGAUCCAUGUUUCUUUUUUUAAAAUAAUAUCAAAGCACCAGCUAGUGACUUGGAAUAUCGAAUAAAAUUUUUAGCCAAUUUUUUUUCAAUAUAUUCUUUUCAAGUUGCAAGCUCAUUUUGGAAUAAAUUAUAAAUGGAUCCAAAUGGUAGUUGAACACCUUCUUAAAGGUAAAUUACAUAAUUGUAAGGGUGAUGCUUCAAUAAGAUAUCAGCAUUUUUUUUUCAAAUAUAUUUGUAAAAUCUUUAUAUGCCUCUAGAAUUAUUGUUGUAGCAACCACAGGUUUCGAUUAUAGAUUUGUAUAGACAGCAAACAUAGUACCUUGUUUGAUCACCCUUAUAAAUGUUCUAGCUCCAAUAAAUAAAUAUUAUUUAAGUUUUGGCUUGUCAAGUAUUAGAAGCUUUUUCGUAGAUCUAGAGGUUCUAUGAUCUACUAGAAGAAAUUCUAACUUUUUUAAUAAUCAAUCUAUCUGUGGAUAGUAUUUUUUAAGCCAUGAGAGUCCUAAAAUGAUUGGACUUAAUGAUAAUCUAAUGACGUUGAAUACUACUUGGCUACUAUGGUUGUCAAAGGUUAUUUUUAAUGGAAUUUUUUUAUAAGUGAUGCCUCUAGAUGAUAAAGAUCAAUCAUCUAUUACUUCUAUAUAUAUGGCUUUAGAUUUUUUGAUUGUAUAGAUUUUGUAUGAUCUACAAAAUUCUUUAACAAUAAAACAUGCAAAAGCUCUCAAGUUAAGUAAUGCAUGACAAUCUAAUUUUGUGACUCCUAACUAUACAUAUGUAUUAAAACAACAAGAAGAGUUGGUAGAGAGUACAAGACCUUUUUUUUGUUUGAGAUAGUUAAGAAUCCAGCCACAUGAUUCUUACUAUAGUUGGACACCCUUGUUUUCUUGCAAUGCUUUUGAUGAAGUGGCCGCACUCUUCAUUUGAUAUAUACGUUGGUAUUUCUUUGAACAAUUAUUAACUUUAUAUCUAGGUUUUCUGCAACAUAAGCAUAUGCCAAGUUUCUUUUGAUACUUUUUUUCUUCUUCAAAAAGAGAUUUGAAUCAAACAACACCAAUCUGCAUAUCUUUUGCUUCCAAUUGUUCAUUAGAAUUGGGUGGUGAAGAAGCUGUACAAUAAUUGGUGUAUACAUGUGGCAUAAUUGAAGAAAGUUUAUCUUCUUGUUGUUGAAAUAAAUGAUUAUUGCACUUUACAGCUUAAUUAAUGGCUUUAUUGAGCAUUAGAGGAUCUGGCAUAGACAACAAUAAGUCCUUGAUAUGGUCUUUUUAUCCCCAAUGAAAUUGGCUCAUCAAUGCAUCUUCUCUCCAAUUUAUAUCACAUGCUAAUUAUCAAAAAUCUAAGGCAUUUGUUGAUGUAGAGUAGAUUCUUUUUUGAAGGCUUUGAAUUUUAGUUGUUGAAGAAUAAACUUUAUCAUGUUUACCAAAUGCUUCCGCAAAUAGUACCAAAAAUGCUUCAAAAUUGUACAAUAUAGGAGAAUUCUUUUCAAAUUAUAGGACGAAUCAGAAUAAAACUUGACUUGAGAGCAAGGUUGUAAUCAAACCAAUAUGUGAGACUUUAGUGGAAUAUUGUUGAGGUUGAAGAAAGGUGAUUAGUCAUACUUAGUUUACAAAGCCAUAAAAUUUAGAGUAGGUACCAUCAAAAUUUUUUGGAAGGCUGAUCUUUGGUUCUUUUGUUGUUAUUCUUAUCAGAUCAUUACCUUGAGUGGAUGCACCUUUCAUAUUUGAAGUAGAUAUAAAUAUUUGAGAAUUUGGAACCUUUGUUACAAUUUAAUGUGGUGGUUGAGACACUUUGGCUCUUUGAUCAUUAUAUAUGGUCAUAUAUAAUACUUCAUUUUGCUUUAACAAAGUCUUGUCCUAAUCCUUAAUGCUUCAAAAGUAUUAAUAAUAGAGUCUAACUUGAUCUCCUUUGAGUUUUUUAUAUUGACUUUUCUACCUUCUACGAUAAAAAAUCAAAAAAACACAUGCUUUUAAAAAAAAAUAAAAAAUAAAAAAUAAAAAAACCUAAUCUAUGAUAAAAAGAAAAAAAAAAACCAAAAGAAUAUUAAAAAAAGAACAACAUUAGUCUAGGAGAGGAUAAUCUGCAACCUCUAGAGUGCUAUAGUAUUUCUAAAAAGAAGAAUAAUCUACUCUCUGUUAAAAAAGAUCAAGCUCCUAAUAAUGUUUUAUGGCAGUCUCGACCUCAUAUAUAUAUGGAAUCCCCUCAACCUCGACUCCUACAUAUACUAGGUCCUAAGAAGCUUUUUGAGAAGUUUCUAUGAGGCUUGAAAAUAAAGUAAGUCUAAGAUCCUUCUUCACUAACUUCCUAAUUCAUCUAAAGCCUCUUAGAAUCAUCUAGGAUCUCCUAUGACCUUCUAGAACUUUCUUAGAAUCUAUUGUAACCUUCUAAAACCUUCUAGAACCUCUAAGAGCCUUCUUAAAAUCUAUUGAUAUCUUUUAGAAUCUUCUUGAAUCUUUUAGAACCUUCUAAAAUCUUCUAGAACCUUUUGGAACCUUCUUCAAUUGUAUGUCCUUGAUAGAUAAUGAAAAAAUAGAUUUUUCAUUUCAAUAAGCAAAAGAAAAAAAACUAAUAUAGGUUACAAUAUAAAGUACUAGUAUCCAGUAAGUACAAUCAAUAAUUAUUUAAUUAAACUAAAAAAAUAAUAUAAAGGUAACAAAAGAAUAGAAACUAAUUAAAUAUGGAUAGGUAGAAACUAGUUGGAUGAGUAGCAAAAAUAGUGGAUAUGCAAAAAAAUUGGUGAAUAAAGAAAUACAAAAUUAUAUGGUAAAAAAUUAAAAUAUCAAAUGUUUGUUGCAAUAUAUACAAGAUUACUUAUUUUUCAUUAGGCAAAAAAAGAUUAUAUACACUUAGAUUUAUCAAUUAUAAUGAAUAUUAUUGUAAUAAUAACCUCAUAUUUUACUUAAUUCUAAAGAGAAUGAAAAAAUAUUUAGAUAAUGAAUAAAGGCGUAAGUUGGAUAUUACAAAUAACCCUCUUUAACUUGCACUCACUUUGCUUCUUUUUCUUCAUAGCUUGUCACCAUGUUCCAUCAAAAUACUUUAAUAACUGUAUGUAUUAGAGGAUGAUUUGAUAUUAGAAAUGUACUUUGUUUUCAAUUUUUUUUUUUUUUAGAAUAUAUAUCUAAUAUUUUGAAUUAAUAAUGUUUUAUUUUUGUAUUUAGGUUCAAUUUUUUUUUUAUUAUAGUGUAGUUAGUUAUGAUAUUCUUUUCAUGUGUAAUUAAAAAAUUUAUCUAUUUGAUGUUCUCUAGAUUGGUCUAUAGUAGGGAACUUGUAAGGUCACAGGCAGCUUUAUCUUUGAGAAAUUGGAAAAAACUUUGGAAUUGAAAUAUUUUCUAAAAACUUGUCUAUUCAAGUUUUAUUCCAUUUGUUAUGAAUAAAAAAUAGAGUUUUUUACCUCUUGGCUAAAGUAAAGAGAUUAAAUUUAAGGUUACAUACAUCCAAAGUAAAAGAAUUUUAGAAUAUAAGAAAAAGAAAAGAAAGCUAUAUCAUACUGGUAAUUAGGUUCUUUUUAAAAUCAAUUUUUUGUUUUUUAUGUUGGAAUUUUUUUUUAUUCCAAUUAAUUUUUUAUUUGCAAUAAAAUUCACAAGACCUAAAGCUUUUGUAAAUAUAUUUAUUUAUUUUAAAUAUAUAGGCAUGUAACUUAUUUCAAUUAUGUAGUCUUAAUACUUGUAUUUAAUAUUAUAAUAAUCUAAUUUAAUAUUUUUUUUUUCUUAUCUAUAAAAAGAUUUUGAAUUAAUCUAAUACUACUCAUAUUAUUGUACAAUAAUGGUGUAGGAUCUUCAAGAUCCACUUACAAUUCUUUGUGCAGUCUUUGGAAGUAGGUGGUAUUCUAGAGGAUAUUUAAGAAGAAGUACUACUUUGUCUCCAUUGAAGAGAGAGCAACAAUUGAUUGGAGUUUACUGAAUUAAGCAAUUAGUACUAAUCCUAAUUUGUAGAGAAUCUUCAAUAUAGAUUUUUGUAAGUCAGUAUUUUUAUAUAAUAUAAUUCUUGCUUGAGAAUACAUCAAGAAUCUAGUUGUAGAAGGUAACUAAAAAAUGCAAUCACAAGUUCUUACUAAGUCUAAUAGAAUCUAAAAUAAAUUAUAAAUAAUUCUUAAAAAUCAUAAUCAAAUUUUAAUCAAUUUAAAAGAAAUUUAAAAGAAAUUAGAAAAAAAAAUACUAAAAAAGUUAUAAAUUAAUUUCAAAAAAUAAUGAUAAAGAAAUUAUAAAUAAAUAAUAAAAAUAUAAAUUCUAAAUAAACUUUAAAUAAAUCUUAAUUAAAUCUUAAUAUAGUCUUAAAUAAAUUCUAAUAAAAUUCUAAUAAUUCUAAAAAAACCUUAAUCAAAUUUUAAUCAAAUUAUAAAUAAAUCCUAACCAAAUCUUAACCAAAUUCUAAAAAAUUCUAAGACAAUUCUAAAUAAAUCUUAAUCAAUUACUAUAGCUUUUUUAAAACCUCAAUAAAUAUUAAUCAAAUUAUUUGUCAUAACUAAAAUUUCACUUGCAUCUUAGUCUAUAAGCAAUUAACAAGCAUACAAAUUUUGAGAAAAAUUGAAUCACCAAUUUGAAAAAAAAAAAUUCUAAACCACUCAGAUAUCAUCCAUCUUCCUCUUCUAAGUCAGAUUUUGAUAUUCUAAUAGAAGUUUCUCAUUGUUGAACUAUUUAAUUUCUUCAAAAAUUGGUUGGUGUGUAGAGUAAUGAGUCUAAAUAUUUGUCACUAAUUUUUGCUCCAAUCAAACUGAGAGAUGUUGUAAGAUUGCAAAAACUCUCAUUAAUCCUAAAUUUUAUUUAUUUAAGACCAUAAUCCAAAAACUCUCACAACUAUCAAUCUAAUCAUUCAAUUGACAUCAAAUUUUUCAAACACACUUAACACAAAUACAAUGACAAACUGAAAAAAAGUUACUUGUAAAUAUGCUAUAACACUCACAAAAUCCUCAAAUUAGUGAACUUCUUUUUAUC